AGAAGAGAUGCAAGCUUAGGGGAAGCAUAACCAUCUGCCUGCAGGGCCAGAUUUCCUGCCCUAUCCUGAUCACCUAUAUGUAUAUAUGGAACAAUCUUUUAUCGGAAGGUCCAUUGGCCCAUUCAUGCCUGGUGUUCAUCUUACAGGCAGACAAUUCUAGGCACAUCUGGAGAUCUUGUAUACCUUAAAAGAAUAUUCCUGGAACUUUCCUGACUUAUUUAAUGGAUUUUAUCUAGUGAACAACGAAGGAAGACCCUUUUACUCAAUGAAGAUGCUGGUAGAAAGAUGGAUUCCCUAUAACUUGGAUAUUGUGGGAUAUUUUAUGAAUACCGCUAAGUGAUGUUUAUGGAUGUAUUCUGUGUUGUACUAAUGACUAUAACCAAAAAAUAUAGGAUGGUCUAAGUUGACACUUUUAUAUUUCUGUUUUUCCUGGAGAUUGCUGUGGCUGAGACAGGUGAAUUCAUUUCUUCCAUUUCUACGGUCCUGAGCGAGUGGGGGGAGAUGGGGGAGGGGCUGUGGGUUUGAUCCUUGUGUCUGACCAUAAUUCAAACGUGUCGGUCCUCUAUGCAGGCUAUGGGAAAUGAGUCCUGUAGUCUACACCACUCAGGUCACCAACAUGGGAGGAGUUUGAGAAGCAUUAUCAUAAGCAUUGUAUAUAACAUGCAAACUUAUGCAGCCAUAUUAAAUCCAUAUUCCUGUAAGUAUAGCUAUGCAGAAAAUAUGUAUCAGAUGGGCACACUGUUUGAAAUGUAGAUUAGUAUUAUGAUUUAAACUAUUUAAUAUAUAUUCAAAUGCAUUCAUGUAUAGAUAAAUAUACAUAAAAUGUAAAAAAAUAAUAAAGCAUUUUGAUAACUGUAUACAUACAGAUUCAUUACAUUGACAUAUUGUUAAAAAAUAUAUAUUUAUAUAAAUAUAUAUAUAUAGCAAAAAAAAUGCAAAAAUACACAUGCAUAUAUUUAUUUAUAGGACAUGGGGACUGGCAUUUAAUAAUGACAGUGAAAUUUGCUCCACUGCUGUUUAGCAGAAACAAAUAAUUGUAGGUAGCAGUGGAAACAUUGCUGUGUUGAUGAAAAGUUAGUAGAUCGAUAUUAAAUUCAGUUUUUUUAUCUAGAUUUAUAUUAUCCAGGCUUGGCAGAACAGGUCCUCCCAUCCUGACUAGUAUCCACCUGAUCUAACCUUGAACGUUCUGUGUAUGAACUCUUAAAGCUACAGAGCACAGAGGCUUUCUUAUUAUUAGGGGGAAAAUAGUCUCAUGUUUAUAUGACAUUUUGGAAAGGGGCAAAUUGCCACACAUUGUUUCGAUCAAUGUAAAUAUCAAUGCUAUAGGUUAGAGUUAUUUCUUUUUUGACCUGUUUGCACUAGGUCCAAUGUGGACAAAUGAAAACUGUAUUACAUUAUGCUGCGUGCAUUUCUACUUAAUCCCCUGUUUGUCAUGGUAAACUCAUUGAAAGGAACUUUACAUUAAUAGAUGUUGCCUAUGGGCCAUAGUAUGGUGUUUUACAACCAUGGCAUGCUUUUUAAGUCAUAAUCUUUACGAUCCAAAACCACAUUUUACUGUUCAGUACUCAGAUUCUUUUUGUUUCCAGCCCCUUUUAGCCUUGAGACUGUCAUGUAUUUUUAUGUGUAUAAUUUAUUUAUCAAUGUUUUACAAUCAAUAACUCAAUAUGUAUUUUUUAUCUAUCUAUCUAUCUAUCUAUCUAUCUGUCUGUGUGAAUUGUAACCACUUUACAUAGCGUGGGCUUUUCUCCUAUAACAUCGCACUGCCAUUUAGAGUCUUUAAUGCAAUAAGUACUCCUUUAUUUUCAAGUUUACAAACAUCAUAACUUGAUUAUUAUCAAUAUUAUUAUAAUUUACAUGUAUUUAAUGAUAAUAUUUGUCAGGUUUGUUUCUAUUUACAAGUUAAAUUGAUUCACAAUCAGACAGGAUGUUUUGCUAAACUAAAAAUUGUAGCAAAUUAAGAUCCGAAUAUGACAUCUAACUAAUCCGGAAACACUCUCCACACUAGCCAUAAUCACAGCAUGGCUAUUUGAGCCUGCAUUUUACCAUUUGGAUUCCAAUUGGCCAACCUUAUGUUAUUACACAAAGAGACACUCCUGUACCUGCCACACUCCCCACACAACUACAUUACAUGUCUAAUGGUGAUAUGCCUGUGGUUAGGUGUCUAAAGUCACACAGACCUCAGAAUUGUGUUUAGUGUUAGUAAUCCAUAGCUACCAGGUGUAAAAAUAUACAAUGUUAGUGUCAGCUCUGGAUUUUUCACAACUAUGCUCUUAAUGUUGUACUGCAUUUUUUCACCAAGUGUGUAGGAUCAUUCAUUAAGUGUGUAAAAGACAGGGGUAUACCACAUUUUAAAGUCGUCAGAACAUGGUAUCUAGUACUGCUGACGAUGUAAUUGACUUCGCACGUACACUCGUUGUAUGUUGCAAGUGUUCUCACCAUUCCUAGGAACUGUACUUCUCCCUCACCUUCAUUACCUGUACGUUGAUGCAUUUUCUGUACUUGCUAAUGUUCUUCUCAAUAACCUUGAAUAAAAACAAAACAAAAAAAAACAACACAUUUUAGGCCUAAAUAGCCAAUGUGAAUUAUAACUGGCUCAGAGAUUUUUUUUUCUUUCUUCUAAUUUUGUUAUUGUGGAUUAAAACUUGCAACUCCCGUGCCAAUUUUUCUAAAGUUUUGGUUUUGUGAAAAAAAUGCAUUGUUAGUCAUUGAGAGCCAAGAAAUGGAGAUUCCAUCUACAGACGGGAUAGGGUUCUAUGUAGUGAGGUCAAAAGGCCAAGCUGAAAUUCAAAGAUGACAUUUAACAUCAUCUGUAAACCCUUUUAUAUUUAAUGUGGACAUUAUUAAUAAUACCUUGUUAAUUCAGAGAGAAAUCUGCUGGUCUUUUGUAGUUAAUAAGAUUGCUUACCUUUUGGAAGUACAAUUGGAAAGCAGUUUGUUCUGAGAUUUGACUUUUUAUUGAUUUUCAGCAGAACCAGGUUUAGGAAAAAUAUUGAACUAUUGUCAACAAAAAAAUACUAGUCAGUCCAAUAAAUAAUGUCUGUGUCACCUUGAAGGGUGACAGAUCUAAACAUUAUAAUAUUCCAUGGCUAUUACUUUGGAGAGAAAUAUUAUAUAGCCCUCUCUAACUGCUUUAUUCAUGCAGAAUUCAGAUAGGAUUGUUGGAUCUCCACAAACUUGUUGAUUGCAAGUUCUUUAGCAUGUAGGAGAGAGGUUGCAAGCACUCAAGUUUGUACGAUUCACGUGUUCCCAGUGUAAAAUAAUUUGUUAAUCCCAAAUGUUGCUGCUGAUUUGUGGUUGUGAUUAGUUAACCAGUUUCAUAUACUGAUGGGUAGCAUCUUCAAACCUUGACCAAUUGAAUGCAGAACUCAUCACUUAAAAAAUGGUAAUCUAACAAGCCUUAUCAAAUUCUGUGUGAUAUGCUUUUAAAUUAACCCUUACAAGUAAACAAAAGGACUUCAUGUGCGUUCCAGUGUGUAGGCAUGUCAACUCGUUGAUGCACAAGCAUGAGCAAUAGGCACUGUGAUCCAGUUCAUUAAAUGGAUUGCUGGUCUUGUAGAAAGGGCUGUGACAUUUUGCUGUGGCAAACAUCUGCCAGAACAUAAAUUACACUCUGCUUUACUGAUUUCAAGGAGUAGCAAGCAUAGAUGUAUGGGCAUAGUGCAAAGGAGAUAUGAAAAAGGGUCUCUACCCUAGACUACAGAGACUACCUACCUAAUGAAAGUAGAAUGUUCUUGCACAGUCUAAAAAAAUAUAAAAAAGUUGGCACUUAAUGGUAUCGAGAUAACCAUAAAAAAAUUAACCAAUUAAACUCUAAUUAAAUUAUAUUUAAAUAUAUGAUAACGUACUCACUCAUGUAUUACCAAAAUAUAACUUGUUAGCUGCACAAAAAAUAAUUUUGUUUUUAUUGCACAGGAUUUUUUUUUUUAAAUCUCCCACCAGAGAUAUGCCUAAAUGCAGUGUGCUAGCAAUAAAAUAAGUGUCUACAAGUGCCACUGCUUAUCCAGUGAUCCUAAUGUGAUACAAGAUAUUGUGUUUAACGCACUUACGACUUGAUGCAAUUUGUGCUUUUUCUUAUAAUAUCAGUACAGCAACGUUUAGGUGAUUUACCAUAUUGUCAGCCAAACAUAUGUCAGCUGACAAUCUUAACUUUUUUUUUCCAUUCCGUAAAGUUUUUUGUUGCAUUUCUCAGCGUGUACACAAUAACUGGUGUAUAAAAUAAUCCAAACAAGGCAAUUUUUCUAAUUUUUAUUAAUUUUUCUUUUUUAUAUAUUUUUAAUACUUUUUUCUCAUUUUAUUUCUUUUUUUUCCCUGCUGAUACUGGUAUAUGUACUGCUGUGAGGCACAUUGUAGCAAUCAAAGGACAUUUUUGAAGAGCAGUUUCUUCUUGAAGUUUGGGAACAUAUUCCUUGAGGAAUAUAGAGUCAUUCAAAUCAGAUUUGGAGGAACUCCACACAAUAAAACAAUACAUAACACAAUAUUUCACAAUUGUAUUAAUUAUUUCUGAGGAAUGUUGAUGCAUGUAAUAUACAAAAGAUAAAGAGGCUAAUUUAUAGCUGGUUUUCUGUGAUAUCUGUAUGCAUUUACAUUUGUUUAAAUUGUCUUUAGGAUCACUGGAUAAGCUGUGACACCAAUAGACACUUAUGUUAUUGCUAUCACCCUGUAUUUAAGCACAUCUCCAGUAAGAGAAUUUAAAAAAAUAUAUAUAUUUUUUUUUUCUGUGCAGUGAAACCAGAAUGCUUUUUAUGCAUCCAACUAAUUAUACAACGGAUUUUUAAUAUCAUGUUUACUUAUAUUUAAUAAAAAAUUAUUUGCAAGGUGUGAAAAAUAAAAUUGAUGUAGAAAUCCACAACUCUUUAUCGUGCAAUUGGGCGCCUCCAUUUUAGCCUCCUGUCAAUCGUUGUUACAAACUGUGUCCUUUGCAACAAUGUCUCUCUUUCUCCUUUUUAUUUGCAAUGUUUGCCCUGGUAUUGCCUUGUCUGAACUGGUUUAUGGUGCCAAAAUGCUAAACCUUUAAUUUAAAUAAAUAAAUAAAAAAGCAAAAAAUAAUCUGAUGAAAAAAAGAUCAACAUGAAUUAUAGAUGGUUUUCAAUAUUUUAUUCACUGGAAUAAAUUCCAAAUUGUUACCCAUUAAGUCACAAUUUUUGCAUGAAACAUAGUGUCCUAAGUAAACAGACAUGUACAUUCUAUACAGACUGGGAGUGUGUAUAGUGAUGUCCUAGUUAGCUGUUCAAACAUCUUCUGUAUUUCUGCUGAGAUCAAAUCUAUUGAUACUGAUACUGUUGCACUUGAUUACCAUAAUUCAUAUAGUCUGUAAGUAACCACAGGCUAUACAAUACCCGUGAAAAAAAAACAACUCUGCGAAUUGAAUGGUCUUGCUUGGAAUUAGUUAUCAGUUUCUCAUACACAUGUUGCUGGUUUUCAACAUUUGCUAAACACAUGACACGUGGAAGUAGUUAGUGCUGGGACAGAAGCACCUGCUAAACAUCUGGUGCUAGUUAUGUAGCAGCAUAUCUGGUAUUAGUUAAAUUUGCUAGCACCUGCUACACAUAUGGAAAUAAUUAUGGCUUCCAUGGUGACCCCAAUAUGAUUUACAAGUGAUUGUUUAAGAAAAAACUUUUUGGCCGGGUCAAAAGGGUGCAAAAACGGGCCAGUCAGUAUACAGCAAAAUAUUAGACUUGUUCAUUAAUGCUUUUCAGAUGGUGUGAACAAUUCUAAUUACUUUUAAUUUAUGCAGGAACCAAUCUACAGGGAUCACAGGUAAAGGCCGGAUGGAUUGAUUUUUUUCAGGAGUAGAUUAAAAGUAAUUUGAUUCAUUCAAACUGGCUAAAAUAUAUUAAUGUGCCAGUCUACAAAAUACAUACAUUGUAUAAAUAUUAGGUAGGUACUUUGCAGUACACUGACAGGUGCAUUUUCCCAUUAUUUGUCACACAGAUCAAGUGAGUUGACGUAACCAAAUGAGGGGUAAAAAGGAGAAGCAGCAAAAAAAAUCUAUUUCUAUAUAUAUAUAUAUAUAUAUAUAUAGAGAGAGAGAGAGAGAGAGAGAGAGAGUUUUUACUGCUUUUUAACAUUUAGUGGUUGUGCAAUAGCCAUCAGUCAUCUUUUUUCCCAUCAAUCUUCUCUUUUUUUUUGUUUUUGCAGUGUGGGCUGUGCUUUAGCUAGAAAAUUUUAGAAAAAAAUCUGUUAGUGCCUUGGUAAUUGUAUUUUCAGUUGAAAAACUACUUGAUUUCCAGAACUACCAUGGGUUACCUGGACUGAUUCACACUGUAAGGCAGCACAUGAAAAGUGCUUCUCAGCUGCAUGGAGAAUUGAUCUGCUGCAGGAUUCCUUAAUAAUUAAUGAUCUGAUAUCCACCUGCAACAUUUAAAUACUACAAAGUGUAGGGUAGCACUUUUCAUGCAUUGCUCAUUAAUAAGUAUCAAUGAGACGGGUUAAGGAAAACAUGUUGGAUCUGUCACCUCUAUGUGAAUACCAUCAAUUGUGUCAAGAAUGCCUGUCAUCUUAUUGUUUCGUACUCUUGGAUGGCAAAACAAUAUAUAUAUAUAUACACACACACACACACACACACACACACACACUUUUUAUAACUAUUGUCCAUGUUAAGGCUAUUAAGGGAAAAGUUUUGUCGGAUUUAUAAAUUUUCUUGGAAUUCACAAUAGCAGUGGAAUUUAAAACUACUUGUUAGUACAAGUGUAUGAACACAAAAGGGCAAAGUGAUUUCAUAAGACUUAAUCACAACUUAUUAAGCUUGUUUUCUUUCCAUCUCUUAAACAUGAGAUAAGUAAAUGAAAAGACUGAAAAAAUAUAAAAGGUCAUGUAGAAUCAGAUAGAAUUCUAUGCGUUACCCUAUAUUUGAAAACGUGAUCACUCAAACACUGCCAGUCUUUUAUUUCAAGGAAUUUGAGUUUCAGUCAUUCCAACGCUUUCAACUCAUAACCCAUUCCAAAUUCCAGAAAAUACAGCAAACGCUAUUAAUGCGACAGCCCUGCUAUGUUUUGCAACCAGAUAAGAUUGUAAAUGAUUUAAUUCUUGCAGGCCGAAAGGGUUAACAGAGAUAAUUUCUAGCUCAGUAAUUCUGUAGGAAGCAAGGCAGAACAAGGGAACCAUUCUCCCAGCAAUGAAUUCAUAGCAGACUCAUCUCUUGUGUCACCCAUCCUGAUCUGAUCUCCCUGGAAUACUCUGGACCCUUCAGAGCCUGGGGCAAGAUGUUGAGCCAUUUUGGUUAUUACAGAAAGGAGGGUGAGGGGGAGUGAAGGAUUGUAGGAUAGGGGAAAGGGAGGGUUGAGCUGAGGAAUGCAUGUGAGCAUUGCACAGCUGUGUCCCCAAAGUCUUUGUUUACAUGGAAGAAAUGGAUUUGGAAUUAACAAAACGACUUAAUGAACAAGUGGUGAUUUUUAGCAGUCAGGGUCUGUGGUGGGUGCGACUAGUAUUACCAUAUCACCAUUUUCAGCAGGAAUCCUUAUACAAAAAAUAUAUACUUUGUAAUCUGGUAAAAUGGGAAUUUUACACUUUACAUUGCAGAAUUAAUUUACCCAAUGCAGGACUAAGGUCUUUGUUGUUUAUAAAGUUUUUGUCUUGUAAGUGAAAUCAGGGUUGCCAUAAUUAAAACAUGUUGCUUCUUUAUGUUUAUAUACAGCACAUGAAAAAAGUGCCUCCCUCAAAUACAUUAGACAUUUUUGGAUUUUUUGUUGAAUAAUGAGUUGAAUUUAUAUACUAAAAGGCAGCCUUAGGCACUGUCUAUCAAUACGUAUACAAGAUAUGUGUCCAGGAAAACUUGGUCAAUCUGGAAUCCCUCAUUUUUCUUAUGAUUGCCACAUUCAGAAACACUCAUAACCAACAAAAGUCUUAUUGUAAUUCACUAUAUUUUGAAAAGUGCUUCUCUCAAGCAGCUAAAAUUGCAAUAUAGACGGAGGGAAUUUAAGUCAGUAAUCAAUAAGGAAUCAUGCAUUAUAGGAAUUCUUCAGGGAAUCACUUUUCAUGUACUGCCUGUCAUAAUGAAGACGUUCUGUCUAGACCAAUAAGGCAGACCUGUCAAUCCUAGUUGCAGGAUGAAGAUCUUCAUGGUCAACUGACUUAAUUGGUUAAAUGGAAGUGUGAAUUGCAGAAAUUCUAAGAGAAUUUCAGAUUUCAGAUUGAAAUCUUCAAGUCAGCUAUGUUUUCACAAUGUCUAUUUUGGCUCAAAUUGUGGAACUCUCAACAGUGAGAGUGAACCACAAAUAUGCAUCUGAAUGGCCAUGCUAAUUAUAAACCAAUUUUAUCUAACCGUUCAGUGUUAACUAGUCCGUGUAACCAUUUUUAAAUGUGCAUAUGAUUUUUUUUCCGUCAAUUCGGAACUUCGGCACUUCGGGAACUUCGGCACUUCGGAUCUUAGACACUUCAGAAUUUCGGCACUUCGGUAACUUUGGCAACUUCGGAAAUCCGGCAUUUCGGGACUUUUCUUGCAGCCGCUUUCUAGAUAACUCCCUAAUUCCCACGGUAUUAGGAAGUUAUCUACCAAAAGACUGAAAGACCUAAAUUGGUCUUUCAGCCAAAUUUACUAAUACUAAGUAAAAAUUACUUAGUAUUAGUAAAUUGUGCCCUUACUCGCUAUACCGCGAGUAGGGGCAUGUCUAGUAAACAGUGAGCAGCCUGUGGGUCCCCCUCCCUGAGCGGUGAGUGGGGGCCCUAAAGUAAAAAAAGGGGGGGAGGACCUAAUGUCCUCCCCCCUGGCCCCCACCCCUGAGCGGUGGGUGGGGGCCCUAAAUACAAAUUGGGGGGACUUAUUGUCCUCCCCACUGGCCCCCACCCCUGACCUACCUAUUGUCCUCCCCCCUGGCCCCCACCCCUGAGCGGUGGGUGGGUGCCCUAAAUACAAAUUGGGGGGGACCUAAUGUCCUCCCCCUGGCCCCCACCCCUGAGCGGUGGGUGGGGGCCCUAAAGAAGAAUAAGAGGGGGGACCUAAUGUCCUCCCCCCUGGCCCCCACCCCUGAGCAGUGGGUGGGGGCCCUACGUGGAAAUUUAACCCCCCCAGGUGACUAGGGGUCUCCAAACCCCUAGUCACUCCCUCCCCAUAAAAAUAAACCCCUACCUACCCCCCACCCCACACUAAAAAUAAUGAGGGGGGACCUUUAACUAAGUACCUGUAAAAAUAAACAUAAACUUACCAUUUGAUGUUUUCUUUCUUCUAAAAUAUUCUUUUUUCAGCCCCAAAAAAGGCCAAAUAAAAAUCCAUAAUAACGACGCAAUAAAAAAAAAAAAGGUUUAAGCUAUCCAAUCAGAGUGCUCUGACAGGUAAAUGAAGAGACUGACAGGUAAGUCUCUACAUUUACCUGUCACAGCACUCUGAUUGGUUGGUUUGAAAUCCACCAAUCAGAGUGUUCUGUGUCAUUUUACACAGCAUGGGAAAGUUCUUUGGAAUUUUCCCACGCUGUGUAAUUUGACUCAUAACUCUUUGAUUGGUUACUUAAUCCACCAAUCAGAGAGUUAUGAGUCAAAUUACACAGCGUGGGAAAAUUCCAAAGAACUUUCCCACGCUGUGUAAAAUGACACAGAGCACUCUGAUUGGUGGAUUUCAAACCAACUAAUCAGAGUGCUGUGACAGGUAACUGUAGAGACUUACCUGUCAGUCUCUUCAUUUUACCUGUCAGAGCACUCUAGAUGGCUUAAACCCACCAAUCAGAGUGCUCUGAGCCUAAUUGCCCUCGCCGGGUGAAGAUGGAUUAUUUUUUGGGGGGCUCAGUUUUUUUUUAUUUUUUUUAAUUGCGUCGGUUAUUAUGGAUUUUUAUUUGGCCUUUUUUGGGGCUGAAAAAAGAAGAUUUUAGAAGAAAGAAAACAUCAAAUAGUAACUUUAUUUUUACAGGUACUUAGUUAAAGGUCCCCCCUUCAUUAUUUUUAGGGUGAGGGGGUUAGGUAGUUUAUUUUUGGGGGCAGGGGGCGACUAGGGGUUUGGGGACCCCUAGUCACCUGGUGGAGAGGGGGGCUAAAUAUGUAUUUAAGGCCCCCACCGCCGCUCAUGGGUGGGGGCCAGGGGGGAGGACAUUAGGUCCCCCCCCCCAAUUUGUAUUUAGGUCCCCACCCACCACUCAGGGGUGGGGGCCAGGGUGAGGACAUUAGGUCCUCCCCCUUAUUCUAGUUUAGGGCCCCCACCCACCGCUCAGGGGUGGGGGCCAGGGGGGAGGACAUUAGGUUCCCCCCCUUAUUCUAGUUUAGGGCCCCCACCCACCGCUCAGGGCUGCUCACUGUUUAAUAGACAUGCCCCUACUCGCGGUUUAGCGAGUAGGGGCAUAAUUUACUAAUACUAAGUAAUCUUUACUUAGUAUUAGUAAAUUUGGCGGAAAGACCAAUUUAGGUCUUUCAGCCUUUUAGUAGAUAGCGCCCUAAUACCGUGGGAAUUAGGGAGUUAUCUACUUAUUCAUUCCUGUCAUUACCUGACUGGCUAAGUAACUUACAUUUUAUAUGAAUGUAUGUUGCUUGAUUGUUGUAAGUGUUGCAAAUGUUUACAGCUGAAUCCUGUCUAUGUUUGUAUACUUUUUAUUUGAAAUUGUAUACAGUGUAACAUUCUUCUUCUUUCACUGGGUAAGUAUAUUAGUACUUAGGCAAUACUAUGCUUCGGAACUUCGGCACUUCGGCACUACUACACUAAGGAAAUUUGGUAAUUUCGGCAAUUCGGCAAUUCAGCUAUUCAGACAUUCGGAAUUACCCAAAUGUCCGAAUUACCCGAAAUUCGGACGAAUUUUAAUUCGGACCGAAACGAAUUGCACAUGUCUAAUUUUUUUGAAACCGCAGAAGAAUAGUACAAGAUCCAGGGCCAAAGGAAGCUAUUACCGAAUAUUGAUGAUCUGGUGACAUUUUGCUCACGUUUUACCCUGUCUUAUGUCUUAUUUUUGUUUUCUGUUUUCCAUAACUGGAGGUUGGUGCCCUUUUAUUAAAAAAAAAAUAUACAUAUUUAUUAAAGAGAAAAAAAAUUGUGAUAUGACACUAAAAUAAAUCUUCAAUAUAAAAAAGUACAGCGCACAGGUGCAUUAAAUUGGUAAAUGACAGUGGAUUCAAAGGAAUUUGACCGGUUUAGAGAUGUCUCCAACAUUAACCACACACUAAUUGGUUGGUUUGUGUAGUUAAAGGGACACUAGAGUCACCAGAACAACUAUAGCUUAUUGUAUUUGUUCUGGUGACUAUAAUCACUCCCUUCAGUCUUUUCAGAGAAAAUGCACUGUUUACAUAACAUGUUAGGGAUACCUCCAGUGGCCACUCCUCACUUGGCUACUAGAGGUGCUUCCUGGGGCAGUGCUGCACACUGUGUAGCACUGCCAUCCAGUGUCUCCACCUUCUGCAUGGAGACACAGAACUUCCCUAAGAGAGAUGAAUUGAUGCAAUACAUUUCUAUGAUUAGCCAGGGCUGUGUUUGGCCUGUGCUGUUUUUUUCCUCUGAUAUGCCUUCUUGACACUUCUGAUUAUGUCAGCCAAGCAGGCAGAUCAGGGGCAGAGCCAGCAGCAGCAGACUGAAAUAAAGGUAAGAUGUUGCUAUGUUUAGGGUGCAAGGGGGAAGGGAGAAGGGGAGGAGGGGGUAGAUGUUAUUUUUAACACUAGAGGGCAGUAAUACAUGUUUGUGUUCUUAACCCUAUAGUGUUCCUUUAAUAUUUGGUCCCUUAAUUGCAGAGUUUGAUGUCUUAUUACUGAUUUGUGGUUUUGCUUAUGUCACAGUGUGGACUCUUCUGUAGUGUUUAAAGUCUUUAUCCUUAUUGUUGAUUUAUUUAUAUAUUUGCUUCACUUUUGUUGUGUCUCUUUAUAGAAUUUUAGGUAUAUGUCCUGAUUGGUUGGUUUGUUUGUUUUCAUUAAGUUCUUUUUUUGUGCCUCUCUUGCAGAGUUUUAGUUCUUUGUUCAAUCUGGUUUGUUUUUGUUUUUAUACCUCUUGUCUCACGUGUACGUGUUUGUGUACAACAUCUAGAAUCACAUUUAGGACAUUUGACACUUGACAUACAAUGCCUAGCAGUGGCAGAGACAGAAUCACCUUUACUCAACCUGUCAAAAUGCUGUGCUGUGAAAGUUCCUGCAGAAAGAGUUGCACUGCUCAGUUUGUUGUUAAAUUCCUAAGAUACCCUGUGGCAUUAAGAUCCAAUACUACUAACCCCAUCUGCACAAAAGAGCAUACUGUUUGUUCCAUUUAGGGCUAACCUAUGACUGCAGUAAUGCUAGGCUUUAUUUCUCAAAUUAGUCAAGUUGGUGGAGCAUUAAAGAUUGUAGUCCACUGCCCAAGUUCUGUAGUACAACUGAUUAAAGGGUCACCGUCAUUAUAGUCACUAAAAAUUUUUUUAUCCUAAUGAAGCAGCAGUGGCGGCUCUAGACUUUGUGAGGACUUAGGCGAAACUCAAACAUGAGGCCCCCACUAACACCCUAAGUGGGGAAAAAAUGAGGGUUGCAUUGUGUGUAUAAGGUGCUGUAGUUGUAUUGAAGGACAAGCUUGCAGCGCUGCAUACAGAGAGCUAGUCUCUGUAUUCAUUGUUCUGACACUUGCAGUAUCGCGACUCCCUGUGCCGCUAUGUUAUGAGCUCUACGAUUGUAGUUAUGGCAUAAUUUGCAAACUAAAUUAAUUUGCAAUAAACAAAUUUAAUUAGCAAUUAUGCUAAUCAUUUAUAAACGACUGCGGGGUAUGGAUUCCAUAGCCUUGCAGUCGUGUAUACAUUAGUGCCGGUGUGUGUAUUUCUGAGUGUUUCUGGCAUUUCUUACCUGUGUAUGUGCAUGAAAUGUGUGGCUGACCGAGAGUAUCCUUGUGUGUGAUCAUGCCCCUGCAGUCUCACUGCUCAAUUCACUGUCAUUUAGGAGUUAAAUCACUUUUAGUUUCUGUUUAUUCAGCCCUAACCACACGUCAUUAUGAGCAUGUAUCUGGAACCGUAUGUGUGUGGGGUAGCUGCUUGCUGGGAGUUGUGUUUAUGGGGGCUCCCUGUGACUUUUGUGCAUAUGUGGAUGUCUUCAGUUUUGGGGCUGUGACAGGGUGUGAGCGUGUGGGUGGCUGUUGGAUGACAGGAUGGGGGGGCUGUGAUAAGUUGGCGGGGCUGUGACAGGUUGGGUGGGCUGUGAUAGGUUGGCGGGGCUGUGACAGGUUGGGAGGUCAGAGGGUGGUGGUCUGUAAGAGGGUGAGAAGGGGCUAUAAGAGGGUGUGGGGACUGUGACAGGGUAGGGGGGUUGUGACAAGAUGUUUGGGGCUGUGACAUGGUAGGGGGGCUCUAACAGGGUAGGGUGGCUGUGAAAGGGUAAGGGUACUGGAGGGAUUGUGACAUGGUGGGGGGCUUGAAGGGCUGUGAUAGUGGGUGGAGGGGGUAGAGUGGCUGUGACAUGGGGUAGAGGGUGUUUAUAAAUACUUUAAAAAAACAUUUUUAUUAGGAUGAUAUCCCCAGUGCUCCGGUUCUCCAGUUCUCUGCGUGGUAAGUUUCGCAAUCUCCGGUCAGUGUUGUCGUGGUAACCCACGGCAACGGUCUGAUUGGCUGGAGAUCGCGAGACAGUUCAGUCUGCAGCUCUGCAGUCUGCAGCUCUGCUGGGAGGCUCUCGAUCAGGGCAGACUAAAUGGAGGGGCCCCGCACCCGGCUGCCGGGCCCCCUCCUGUGUCGGUCCUCGUUCAUAGACCGAAGACCCAACAUGUCAGUCUACCCUGAGGCAAAUUAAGUGUGUCUGCAAGGCUCCAGCCAGCGCAAGGCCUUAGACGGCCGCCUAAAUCGCCUAAUUAGAGAGUCGCCUCUGUAGCAGGUUUGGUGUAUAGAUAAUGCCCCUGCAGUCUCACAGCUCAAUUCACUGUCAUUUAGGAGUUAAAUCACGUUUGUUUCUGUUUAUGCAGCCCUACACACACCUCCCUUGGCUGUGACUCACACAUCAUGCCUGGAAAAAAAUGGUUUCAUUUUCAAUCAGGGGUUAACUUGUUUUAGAAGUUUUUAUCUUCUGUUCUGUAAAUUGAACCUUACAAGGGUAGUAACAGAGCAGGAGAUAUGAAAUUCUAAAUUCUAAAUUCUAACAGAGUAAUGAAAUAAAGGAAGUUCAAACAUUAGAUCUCUCUUUACAGGAAGUGUUUGGGAAGGCUGUGCAAGUUACGUGCAAAGAGGCGUAAGUAGGGCUGCAUAAACAAAGUGAUUUAACUCCUAAAUGGCAGAAAAUUGAAUAGUGAGAUUGCAGGGGCAUGAUCUAUAUACCAAAACUGCUUCAUUAAACUAAAGUUGUUUUGGUGCAUAGAGUGUCCCUUUAACUAUCACUGUCUAAGGCAUUCAUGCCUUUCCUCGAAACAUAAAAUAAUAUUUAAAAAUGCACUAUGCAUUUAAAAUAUUUCCCAUAUGUGAUGAUUUAUAAUCAUCUACAUUACUUUUUUUUUAAUAAUAUCAUUUCUUUCUUGUUUGUUGCUUUCAUUGAUUCCUGUUCUCCCCUCUGGUAUGUCUGUUUGGAGUCUGUAUAUGCCUUUGGUAGGGUGUUAGUAAACUCUAGGAUGUUAAUUAGGUUUAAUCCAAAUUUGUAAAUCACAUUACAUAAACGCUGAAAUUUCUAAACAAAUACUCUCUUUUAAAAAAAACAAUGAAUUCUUAUUCAAAUAUGUUUCUUUAAAAAAUCGGUGUAUUAUUUAAAUGUACACAAACCAAUCAAUAAUAGAUACAGCUUUACAUUCUAAAGGAGAAAUAUACAUGCAAUAAUGUAAUACUAUUAUAGAGUAUAGCUUUAAUGAACUUGAACCUUGAAUGCACAUUUACAAUUGCAAAGUAAUUUUGAGGGCUACAAAAAGUGCAAAUUUAUAAUCUAACCUUGUUAAGCCCGCACUGGCUGUUAAUAAGAAAAUUGGGCCUGUUACUUCCUGGUUAGGUGGGCAAUUGUUCAGAGUACCUACCUUGCAAAGACCUCUCAUUGAGCUGCAUUGGGAAGUCAGUGAUUGGACAGCCACAGAAAGUGUGGGUUGGGGAAGAAGAUGAGGGCUUGCAGACAAGAAAACUAUUGCUUUUGCAAGCUGUUUUUAGAUAUAACCCCAAUGAAAGAAAAUGCAUAAUUAGUUGAAUGUAUGUUUUCAUUGAGGGUAUAUCAACUAAACAGUGAUUAUUACAGUUAAUUAUCUUUUUUAUUGGGCAGUGGAGUGCCUCUUUAAUAAUGACUUCAAAUAUUUUUAUGCAUGGAAUAGCAUCCAAACACAUCAUUAUCCAAAGCAGGAGAAUACAAUGAUCAUGUGCCUAACUUGUGUAAGAAUUUUUUUGACACUGUUUUCCACUUAGUAACAUACCUGUACUUAUGUGAAAUCUGGUUUCAGAUGACAGUUAUUAUUUAUCUUUGUUACUGAUAUUCAUUAAACUUUUUGAAGUCUGCAUUAUAAACGUUCAGCAGGUAAUUAAAAAUGGCUGAGCUGCAUUUUAGUGUUUUUGAUGAUCAGAAAUGAUCCUUUUGAUGGUUUAAUUGUCAGUAAAUGUUUUCCUUUCAUUGAAAAAACAAAUCCCCAGGUGCACACCCUAAUGAAAUAUGCUGAAUAAGCAUAUAGUGUAGAUGUGUCAGUUUCUCCCAUUAAUUUCAAUAGAGGAUCCCUAGACCUAGUCUGCAUUGAACAAACUGCUGGCCAUUAUUACAGCUUCUAUGACAAAGCAUAAGUAAUGUGAGAGAAGUACGGGGGAAUAAAUCCAUUCAGAGAAUGCAACGUAACUCAAGCAGACUGCUGUGGUCCUCUCAUAUUACAGCACUCUCUGUAUAGGGACCAUUUUAAACAAAAUAAUUAUUAUAGGUUAAAAGUAAAUUUGAAAUUGUUAUUGUUGAAAUCAGACAUUAAAUAGAUUUGUACUUCUUUGUGCACUUCAAGAUUUUUUUUCCAUUUGUUUAAAUCACAAUACUUAUACAAAUAAACCUGAAGAAUUGCAUAAAGAAUUGUGUAAAAACUGUGAUGAUGCAUCAACAAGCAAAUAAUCUUUUAGUAACUGUUAUGUUGACAGUUUUACUUUUAAUGCUAAGUGCUGUUUGCAGUAUUCUAUUAGCUACAACAUUGUAUAUGGGGGGGAAAAAGGUCUGCUUUGAUUUCUUUUUUUACUAUUUUUUUUUAAUGGUUUCUCAUUUAAUUUAGAGAAUAAAAUCAUCACACAAUAAUAAAGUAUACAAGCACAGUGAUACACUUGCUGACAUAGUCCAUCUACUAGCACCAUUUUUCACUUCUAUGUUCACUUUUUGACAAGGACCCAGAUAAUUUACUAGGUCAGAGUUUCUCAACCUUUUACAAAGUACCCUGCAAGUCUAAAAAAAAAUCCUAAGUACUCAUGUCUCGAGAAAGCAAUUUCUUUUGAUUUAAAUACCAAAUGAAAGGUGUAGACACACAUAUCUAGGUUAAUUCCAUAUUGGAGAAAAAACCUGAUUAAAGGUAGUCAAGAACAUUUUUAAAAUAAAUAUAACAUCAUGUGAAUAUUGUGUUACACACAGAGGACACUAAAACACACACAACACAUGGUUACAAACAUAGGACACUAAAACACACACACACACACACAUAUUGACACACAGAGGACACUGACACACAGUACAGCUCCCUCGUCUCCUCCACCUCCAUUCUCCACCAGCUGGCCGCCUCCUGGAAGGCACCAAGGUGGCCAACUGGCCAGGUCUUGGUGUAGCUACUGCCAUUCCCAGGGGUUACACAUACCACUGUUUGAGAAAGAAGGUUCUAAAUGACCCAUUCUUCCUUUGCAAAUUAAUCUCAAUGACCCAUUCUUCAGUUUAAUAUAUACAAAACAUAUGUGCGGUAAAAAUAAUCUAAGCCCACAACCUGAACGAAGUCAUGUGGAUUCCUAGAGCUAGUAUCUGUGUCAAACCCUAGUUCCUAAUGUACCUGCACGUUUUAUCUGUAACGCCUCUGCGCAGGCAACCAUGAGCUUCCCAUGAAACAUGAAUGACUACCUGCUUGUAUCUGCAAUGCCAAUUACAAAAGAAGCAUUUAAAACAAACCCGCUUUGCGCAGGCAACCGAAGGAAUACUGUGUUAUAUUAAUGUUGCAGCCCCUGCGUGGGCAAUCAAUUGCCUUGUUAUAAAUCAGUUUGAUGCCUAAAUUCCUAAUGUGCUUAAAAAUAAAAAUAUUCAAAACAAAACAUAUGUGCGCAAAAUACCAUCUUUAGUCCAUUUCCAGUGUCAAAGGGAUCUCCAUUACAUCCCUUAGCAAAGGGAAUAUAGUAAAUAUAUUGAUAAUACAAUUGGACGAGACCCAACCAAUUAGAACCUAGUAAAAUAGCAUGGCUAGGCUUUAAGAAUUAUUGAGCUAGCACAAAAAUGCAUUUGAAAUGCAUGUUUUUGUGGAAUAUUAAUAUAAUAACAAUUAAUAUAAUACAAUUUGUAUAUACACACAAUACAUUGACAAAGUGAAAACUAUUAAACAAUUAAAAAAAUUUCCACAGUCAACAUUAAGAGAUCUGUACACUAAGCAGUACAUUGAAACAGGUUGAGAUCAUUGUUAAGGUUUUAUCCAAAAUAGCAUCAAUGGAAACAUAUCUCAUUUAGAAUUCUGCUGAUUUUGUUUUUUGUUUUUUUCCGGCUGAUUUUAGGCAUCGGGCUAAAAAGGGUUUUGUGCCAUUAAUUUUAUUUCCACUAACCACUGCGAAGUGUGCCCCAUGUCCAGCCAAUCAGUCAGAUCUUGGUCACUGACCAACAAUGCAUUUGCAAUGAUGGACUAAUGGAGGCCCUCUGUACGUGUACUUGUUAUUUGGAUGCAUCACAUGUGUAUUGCUUGCAUUUGUAGAAAGGCAAGUUAUAUAAGUAAUGCACGUUUAUUUCACUAUAGCUUUUUGGAACAUGCUCUAGUGUCCAGUGCCUAUUUAGAUUCAGCCCUUCCCUCCUUUUGAACUGGAAAAAAAUUAGUGAAGAACGGUUUUAAAUUCUUCUGUGUAGGGUCCAUAGGCAUAGUUAUUCUUUGUAGCUUGUUGUAUCUUGUAUUAAAGGACCACCUGUCACUGUGCAAGUCAAAUAUAUCCAUGCAGUUAUUUAAGGUUAAUAUUUAUGGACACAGAAGCCAGGAUCUGAACAGGCAAUUCUUGGAGGACAAUAUGAUGAGUUGCUUAGAGAGUCAUAGCCACAAGUGUAAGCAAUCCAAAAAAUCUUAUUGUAGUGAAACACUUGCAUUCAAGGAAAAUGUCAAAAAGUAACAGUGGAAAAAUGCUUAGUAGUAUAGCUGUGACGUGUUUCAUGCCUUAACGGUACUUAGUCACAAGGAAGUACUUAGUAAUAAUCUAGUACUUAGUCAUAAGCCAGUGCUUAGUAAAUAUGAAAAAAAUGACAAAACACAAGGAAUGGUGUUUAAGCAUGCUCAUUAAUGGAUAUGAAAACCAGACAUGUGGGUAACCACACAAAUGGCGCCCUGCAUUCAAACACACUCCAUACAAAGCAGGUUUACAUUCAAACACACAGCCACUACUCACAAAUACGUCCUGCCAGGAUGUUACCCAUCUGGCAAAGCAUUGUGAUAGUUGUAUGACAGUUGAGGGUCUACCUUUUGGUCACUCAUGCGUUAGAUUGGGGCCCAACAUGGCUCUCUCAAAAUGAGUUCCCUACUGAUGUAAUUAAUUUGUUUUUAGAGAGUCUGCUGCAUAUUUUACACAGUAAAAUUCCUUAUACCUUACAUCUGUUCAGCAACCUUCAGAUGGAUCACUAGGAAAUUUUUAAUUAUAGCCCAAAAUAGCAGAGCUGGGAACAUGGCUGUGCUAGAUAGUUUUUCCAAUUGUGCUCUUUUGGCCUACAAUGAUUCAUUUCCUAGUAAAUUCUCCACAGCUUCCAUCUUAAUCCAUAAUGUUUUCCCAUGUUUAAUGUUGUGGUUUCUUUAUGCAUAUGCAUAUAAUGCAUUAACUUGUGUCUGAGUUUUACGGCAAAAUAGACAUAGCAUUUAUCUUGGUGCAUGUUGAUUGGACCUAUUUUGUUGCAACCUUACUGUACAUACAGUGGCAAAGAAAUUGCACUACCUGAGAUAGGAUGAAUGGACCCAGGGUGUCUAACACAGUCAUGAUCUAAUUAAAAAACUUGCAAAGUCUGCAGCGUGAUAGUUUACAAUACCCCUCCAAGGCAUGAAGUGGUUAAUUUUUAGUAACCUUUGACCUUUUAUCGGGGCACUGAGUAGGGACAUACAGCUGCGGUGCCACCACUCUGACAUUUCUCCCCACCGCCCAGCAAACUAAAUUCUUCCAUUGUCUCUUACUGGUCUGCCUGCUUUCUCCUGUUGACAGCAAAGGCCGAUUGGCAGAGAUUGGGGAAAAGGCGGAGGAGGGCGGGGGACAGACUGCUGGCACGCAGGAUCAUAUCAAUGGUCCAUUGUGUACAGCAGUACUUACACUUACCAGCUGUAAUGGGGAAAACAAGUGCCACAUAUCUGCAGUAACCCACCUAGGGAGAGGAAGCAUUUAACUGCUUUUACUGGAUGAAGUAAAUGUAAAUAAAUAUAGUGUAUGACAGACUGUAAUUUACAAACCAGUAGAACCUAAACCUUAUAGAUUUACAAGAAACCACAAACUGGUUUUCUCUCAGUUGGCCGAGCCAUGUUUCUGCCUUUAUUUCUAAGGGUUUGGUAAAUAAACCAAAAUAUACGUCAUAUUUUUAUCUGUAAUAAAAAGUAAGAAAGCUAUAGGUCAUAUAGUUUAUCAACUAGCAACCUAUAUAUAUUAUUCAUAUAUCAAUAUAUGGAAAUGCUAUUUUACAAUAUUUAAAUAUAUGUAUGUAGCCUGUAAAUGUAUUUUUGAGAUACAAUUGUAUAUUAUAUAUUUUUCAUAAGAAUACUAACUGAAUGUUUUCCUACAGGUAAAGUUUCCUGGAUAGGUCAUAUAUUAUAAAACAUAUUCAUAGAUAUUCACUGAAGUGAAUUGUUAAGAAUACAGAGUGUAUUUGAAAUUUGAGGCUAAGUUGGCUAAAAAUUUAAGAAAACAAUUACAAGUCCACUAUGUUUCCAAUUUGUCUAUUAUGACAUUUAAAAUUAACUUUGAAUUCCCCAAAUUUCACCCUUCAGUGACCAACCAUAAGUCCUACUUGACAGUAUCUACUCAUGGUUCCUUACAGGACAUAGGUUAACCCAAUAGUAUGAGCAGGUUAUUAAAGGUUUGCUUCCAGAGAUAGCACUUCAUCAAAGCACGCAGAUCUGUGGACAGAGUCUAGCUACUGAAGUGGAUGUUCGCACGAUCUGAGAGCUCUGAUAUGAAUAGCUAUUUCUUUAAUCAUAUUACCACUUUAUGCCUUAAUCUGUAGGGAUAUAGCUGGACUAUUGGGUUUGCUAAUACACAAUGGGUUGUAAAAACAAAAACCAGAGAAGCCAUGGCCAGGCAUGAAUAUUGGCGAUCUUCUCUGGCAUGGCAUUCUUCAGCCCAAGAUUGUCUCUUACCCAAAGGAUUGCUCUGACCUGUCGGAUGACUUGUCCCUUGAGGAUGUAGACCUACCUAUUCUAAAUAAUCUAAUCUUGGUACCAUCACCAAUGAUGACGAACCUUUAGAAAACUAUUAAAGAUGUGACCGUUGAAAACAACUCCUAAAGUAACAGCCAAGAUACAGCAGACGCAACAAGAGAUACAGGAACAGCACAAUACAUUUCAACAACAAUUUGGAUAUCUAAAAGUAAGGAGCAUGUCGGAGGAUCUUCCAGAGGAGCAGUUGCUGCACUUAUGUGCCUACUGGUACUUUUUUUUGUCCACUAGACAAGCCAAAACUAUUGGUUUAGAUGAAUUAUUUUGUCUCCUCAGACUGGUCAAAGCUUCAGCUACAGUGUCAAGAGACUUGGUGGUUCUCUUCAAGAGCAGCAGAAAUAAAACUGUAGUCUUGGCUGCUACCAGGGGAAACUCUCCCUACAAUUUCAAGACUAUGCCUCUUACCCUCUAUGUAGAUCUAUAUAGUGAAUCCCUGGCAUUGCGGAGGUCACUCCAACCAUUUACAUCUCUCCUCCAAAUGUAUGACAUCCAGUACUGUUGGUGAAUGUCCCGCACGCUCCCCGAUCUACAUGGGUAGUCUAAGUUUCUAGGGCAAGAUCUUCAGGGAGCGGCAGCAAUUCUGGCGACCUUGGGCCUUCCGCAGGACUCACUUGACUAAGUUGGGCCACACACGGUUAAUAAAUCAUCCCAAAUCACCUGGGAUCCAGCAAAUAUAACCCAAUUCACUUAGUUUGGUAGCGAAGCGUCAAGCUUUUAAACAUUUUUUAUUGUAUUACAUUGCACUCUAUUGUAUAUUAUUUGCUUUUGCUAUACGAUGCUACACCUUCUACAGAGGUUAAGCGUUGAGUUUCAUUGUAAUCUUUAUUUUUCCAUUUAUUUUAUACAGCACGUUUAGAUCAGUACACACAGUCAAACAUGUUCAUCUCCUUAUACAGGAGCCAGGUAGUAAAAGUAACAUACUCCAGAUAGGCCCCCCCAACAUCCGGAAAUUUGACAGAAUCUUAGCAUUUGAGUUAGGCUAGAUUUUAGACUGCGCUGGUAUAUCUGCGCGGCAAACAGGACCGCAAUCUCGGGACCCCCGGAGAGCACAUGUGACCCAUGCGCCGGGUGGGGCAUGGGAUAUGUGGCUUGUCCUUUUGCACGGGCAUUCUUAACUGCAUGUUACCCCUGCCACCGUAUACAAGGAGGCCCUCUAGUGGGUUCGCCCCUGGCCCAUUAUUCCCUCGGUACCCUCCAACCUCCUACACUGGGUUGAUGGUUCGUGGGCGAGGUCCGUCCGCUGCCGGUUGCCUUCCAAGGUCACCGUGCCCUUUCUCCUCCCCUAGCGUAAGUGUCCUGAGCCCCCUAGGGGUCAAAUCAGGUACCAUCGCCUGUAUUGAGUCUGAGGCCCGGGAUGAGCCAAGUGUGUGAGGCUGAAGGCGCCAGAGGACCUCCCCUCGUACCAUCCGGAUGCUUUGUUAGCCCCCAUCCCUCCACUCUGACCCCCCUCGUCCUGUACGAUACCCAUCCGCUCCCAAGAUAUUCCGAAGCCUCUCCAACCCGCUAUCUCCCUAUGCCUCCAUGGACUAGCUCCAGUCCUUGCUUUGUACUUCCAGCCCCCAUCCCCAAAACACUCUGAAUGCUAAGUUAGGGGGUGAGUGAGUCUGUAUGCCUACUCUCGGGUAAGUGUCUCCGUGCGUCAUCUGUCUGGGAGGAACUGAGGGGCGUGUGAAGGGAAGUCAUAGUCGCCUGGUUGGGGAAGUGUGCCCCCCCCUAAACAGGGAGGCGCCCCGGCACAGUCAAGUCAUUGUGCGUGAGGAAAGCCGUACCGGUGCGAGAGCACCACCUUCCCCCAGCCGGGCUCCCCCCACGGCCCCCCUGGCCGUGUACUCCGUCCAAGGAAACCAUGUGAGCGCACAUUUAUCCGAGCGCCCCUGCAGAGACGCAGUCAUCAAUUCCAUGUUGUGAAUCGUUUCCACCCUGUCAAUCCAUUGGUGGAGCGAGGGGGCUGCCUGACUUCUCCAUAGCAUGGGGAUGAGGGAUUUUGCUGCCGUGAGAAGGUGUAUUACCAAGCCCUUCUUGUACGCGGAAAUAGGCAUGCUCGUAUGAUUCAGUAGCAUUGGCAGCGGCUGGAAUGGGAUGUCCGUCCCAGUAACAUCUUUAAUCCCUUUAUGUAUCGUUCUCCAGAAAGGUUCGAUGCGGGGACACGACCACCACAUGUGGAUCCCAGAGCCAUCCGCAUCCCCACACCUCCAGCACUCUCCUGAUAGAGAUUCGUGGACAUGACGAAGAAUGUCCGGAGUUCUAUACCAACGUACCAGUAUCUUGUAGUUGCACUCCUGGAACUUGGAGCAAAUGGUCCCCCUGUGCGUCAAUUGAAAGAUCUUUUGCCAUUCAGAGGUAGAUAGCUCGACCCCUGCUUCCCUCUCCCACCGUACCGUGAACCCUAGUGGGGCCUGGUCUUCGCAACUCUGCAACAUGGAGUAGAGUUGCGUUAUGCGAUGGGAGAGAUGCUGUCUGGCGGCACAGAUUUGUUCGAAGUGGGACAGUGGGCAGUGGAGGUGUGCCUUCCCAGUUAGUGAGGUUACAUAGGUUUUAAGCUGGUAGUACCGGAAAUUGUCCAAGCCGCUGGGUCUGCGGUCUUGGAGCAGCGUGGCCACCGGUUUGAGGUUCGGACCAUUACACCAUUGGUGCAGGUACAUCCAGUCCGUGGCCCCAAAGUUCCUCAGAUCACCUGGGGAGAGUCCACCUGCCAGUCUUGGGUUAUGCGUCACGGGCGUAAGAGGAUUUGGCGAUGACGUGAGUUGUAGAGAGAACCGGAUACCACACCAGACCUUUAAAGUCGCAUCCACCAGGGGGUUGCCCGUUCGUAGUUCCUGGAACGUGGCAUCUCCCAGCCACAACUGGGACGGAAUUUUGCCUCCUCCUGCCUGUGUCUUUUCCAUGUCUACCCACCGCUUCCCGCUCGGAGCAGCGUGCCAGUCCACUAGACGAGCCAAGUGUGUAGCCCGGUAGUAAGUAAGGACCGAAGGCAAGCCCAUGCCUCCCUCGCUUCUAGGACGCUCCAGGAUCGACUGCCGGAUGCGGGCAGCUCUCCGGUUCCAUACGAACUGCUUAAAGGCGGAUGACAACGUUUGGAAGAAGUUCCUUGGUAUAAUGACUGGGAUCGUCUGGAACAAGUACAAUAUACGGGGCAUGACAUUCAUUUUAAUGGCAUUUAUGCGUCCGAACCAGGAUAUAUAUUGGGGGGCCCAGCGCUUCAUGUCUUGUUGUAGAGUUGUGAGUAGGGGGACAAAAUUCAUGGAAUAUGCUUGAGUUAGAUCACACGGUAUCCAGAUGCCCAGGUACCGUAGUUUGUGCAAGCAAAUCCGGAAGGGGAAAUGAGCCUGGAUGUGUCUACGAAGUGCCGGGUCUCGUGUGAGUGGCAUCAGUUCCGACUUGGCCAGGUUGAGCUUCAAGUUAGAAACUAAGCCAUAGAGUCGGAAAGCUUCUAUUAAGUUCGGUAGCGAGAUUCUGGGCUGUUCGAGGAGGAAGAGCAUGUCGUCAGCGUAUGCCGCCACUCGAUGCUCCUCCCCCCCUACCAGGCACCCCGCUAUGCCCCCAUCCCGUCUCACCGCCUCCAGGAAGGGCUCCAGAGUGAGGGCAAACAGGAGGGGGGACAGCGGGCAGCCCUGACGCGUGCCAUUGGAAAUCCGGAACACACCCGUUAAUGCUCCGUUCACCCGUAUACGCGCCGUGUUUCAUCGUAAUUUUAAUAGCUAGAAAGAGGUGUAUUGCAACGCUAUCUGUUUCUCUACUAAGGGAUUAAACUUCAGGCCAUAGGCUGUCACGCAUUAUACAAAAUCCGUUAUACUAAAACUACAUGUCAUUGUAUAUCUGUUGCAUCAUUCUCCAUGUUGACUGGUAUCUCCUUUCCUGUCUAUGGAUUAAACCAAAAAUAUAUAUAUUUUUAAAAGGGCAUGCUGAACUCUCUGCUCUUCGUUUGAUAUUUUCCUCAUGUUAGUUUAAAUGACCUGUUUUAAAGACACACUAAAUCCUGUUAAUCCUAAAUAGAAAAAAUAUAAUGGAAAAACAUAUGCAAUAAAAUGGCCUGUACUUUUUAAUAUACCAUCCAUUGUUAUAUCUGCCUAGUAACUUCCAUGCUACAUUCUAAUAGAUACAGGUUAAAAACAAAGCACUUUUUUUCUGCAGGAAGAGGACUUCGUGGCCUUAAUGGAGCCAUUCCCAGUCUAGAAUAUUAAGCAGUCAACACCCAGCCUGAUCAGCAUUCAGUUUAAAUCAGGAUGUGUCUAUCUAUCAUCAGUCCAUCCAUACAUAUUAUAUAAAAUGUAUCACCACACUGCUUUCAACAUCUAGUAUGAUCUAAUUUAUUAUCUAUUAUAAUUGUACAAAAGUGACGACCGGAACAAUCAGGGAGGUUUUGAUGCAAAAAAACAUUUCGGUUUCCACAUACAUUAUUACCGGGGUCCUCUCAAAAUAAUUUUUCUUUCAAUGCUUUUCAUCGCUUGCUUUCUCCAUAGUGGGUUUCCUUAAUUUCUAACCCAUAUUCUUUCUCUUCUUUCAUUCUCUACCCAUACAUUGUUUACUGUAUUCCCUAUUCGGGACAAGAGAAAAUAAUUAUUGUAUAGAUCAAGCAGGGACACUUAGCAUAAUCUCAAGAGCUAUACAUAUUGGAGCCACAUAAAUAAAUAUGAACCAUAAUAAUCUGUUAUGUAGCAGUGCUCGGGCACUCCUACUAAUUUGUAUCUAAGGGAGAUUAGAACACCUGCAGAAUGAUGUACGUUGUAUGUAACCUUGGAGAAAGUCAUAGAGAAAAGUGGGUAUUUUAUAUUGUCAUAAAAUCACUUCAGUUAAGUAAAAACAUUAUCUUGUCUUGCCAAGUAUUACAGUAUUAGAACCCAUUUUUUUUCAUCUCACCCCACCACUCCCAGUUUAAUUCUCAUCCAGCAUUUUAUUUCAUACCUUAGCACUUCUUCCUCCUUUCACCAGUCCCCAAUAGUCUUAAAACAACACAUUUAAAAGGAAAUGAUAGUGAGAACUUUCCUCUAAAUAAAUGCAAUUUCCAUAUGACUCCCACGCUACCUGUAUUUAGACAGCUCAUAUUGACAGAGUGCCAUACUAUUUAGAACAUAACCACAAAAUCACACACAGGUAAAACUGGUUAUUGUAUAGCACAGACUUCACAAUUUACUCCAAUGGUUUCCUUUUAAAGGGGCACUCUAAACAUAAUAACUAGUUCAGUGUUGUGGUUAUGUUUCUAAAAGUUGCUGGCUGCUGCCCCUAGCGCUCUCAUCUAACACCGUGAACUCUGUGUCCUGUUCCUCAAACCAUUCCUGAACAGUUUUUGCAAUGUGGCAGGUUGCAUUAUUCUGCUGAAAGAGGCCACUGCCACCAGGGAACACCAUUGCCAUGAAGAGUUUGUGGUCUGCAACAAUCUCUAGGUAGAUGGUACGUAUCAAAUUAACAUCCACAUGAAUGUCAGGAGGACCCAAGGUUUCCCAGCAUAACAUUGCCCAGAGCAUAACACUGCCCUCUUCCUAUACGGUACUUGCUUCCCACCCUUUUCCCAGGUAAAUGACGCACACGCACCCAGCCAUCUAUCUGAGCUAAAAGAAAACAUGUUUAAUUAGGCCAAGCAACAUUAUUCCAUUGCUCCAUGGUCCAGUUCUGAUGCUCAUGUCCCCAUUGAAGAUGCUCAUACAUAGCAAACUGUGAUGCACUGUGUAUUCUUGCACCUUUCUAUGAUGGUCAGUAUUAAGUUAUUCAGCAAUUUGUUUUCCAGUGGCUCUUCUGUGUGAUUGAACCAGACGGGUUAGCGUUCGCUUCACUGAACCUUGGUCACCCAUGACCCUGAUGCCGGUUCACUGGCUGACCUUCCUUGCACCACUUUUGUUAAGUACUAACCACUACAUACCGGGAACACCCCACAAGACUUGCCUAUUCACUAUUUUGUCUUUGUCAAAGUCAAUCAGAUUUUUUCACUUGCCAAUUUUCCAUGCUUCCAAUACAUGAAAUUCAAGAAGUGACUAUUCACCUACUGCCUAAUCAGGGCCGGCGCGUCCUAUAGGCGACUUAGGUCGUCUAGGGCGCACCGGCCUGGGGGUGCCAGAUUUGAGUGACCCGGCAGGAGGGAAGUGCACAGAGCUCCCUCCUGCCAGUCACUCAGUGUAGCGAGGCCGGGAGGCACGGACCGCGGUACAGGACCUUCAGUUUCCUGUACUCUGCUGCCAGUCGGAUUGACAGGAAGAGCGCAGAGAGCACUUCCAUUCAGACCGCCCGGCGGCUGGGUACAGGAAACAGAAAGUCCUGUACCGCGGCCGCGCCACCCGACCACGCUUCACAGGGAGGUAGGAGGCAAACAAGGGGAGGGAAAGACCACUAAGGGACGAAGGGGAGGAAGGAAGAGAGACCAAUCAGGGACAGGUGAGGACGGGGUAGGGAGAGCACCAAGGUACAGGGUGGCAGAGGAGAUCACUAAGGGACAGGGGUGAGCACUAAGGGACAGAGGAGAUCACUAAGGGACAGGGGGCAUGGGAGAGCACUAAGGGAGCAGGGUAGAACACUUAGGGACAGGAGGGUAGGGGAGAUCACUAAGUGACAGGGGUCAGGGUCAAGCACUAAGAGACUGGGGCAGGGUAGAGCACUAAGAGACAGAGGGCAGGGGAGAUCACUAUGGGACAGGAGGGGAAGGUGGAUCACUAAGGGACAGGAGGCGAGAUCACUAAGGGCAAGAGGGCAGCAAGUGAUCCAGGGGAGAGCACUAAGGGACAAGGGGGCAGGGAAGAGCACUAAGGGACGGGGGGAACAGGAGAUCACUAAGGGAUGGGAAAACACUAGGGGAGCAGGGUAGAACACUAAGGGACAGUAGGGUAGGGGAUAUUAUUAAAGGACGGGGGGCAGGGGAGAGCACUAAGGGACGGGGCAGGGUAGAGCACUAAGGGACAGGGGUGCAGGGGAGAUCACUAUGGGAUAGGAGGGGAGGGGAGAUCACUAAGGGACAGGAGGGGAGAUCACUAAGGACAAGAGGGCGGUAAGUGAUCCAGGGGAGAGCACUAAGGGACAGGAAAGGAUGGUAGACCUCUAAGGGACAGGGUGGAGUGAAAGAGAUCAUUAAGAGAUGGGGGAGUGUAAGACACACAGAGAGGCUGAGGAAGGGGUGAAAGGGAGACACAAAAAGGGACCUGGGGGUGUGAGGGGAAAGACACACAGAGGGCCUGGGGGUAAAAGAGACACACAAAGGGGUUGGGAGGAUGUAAGAGACAUACAAAAAAAGGAUAGGAGACAGACAAGGGGCUUGUAAGAGAUACACUAAAGGGGGUGUAAGACACAAAACGAAAAGAAAAAAUAUACAAAAAAAAAUAAUUAACAAAAUAAAUAUAAUAAUACAAAUAAAGAGCUGCUCCCCUCUCAGCCCCUAUUCUACCCCACACACCCUCUCUUUCACAGUACACACAUACACAAAGCAUCCCUACACGCACAUGCACAGAAACUAACAAUGCUUCCCUACUCACACACCGAAACAUACAGUGAAUCCUACACACACACACAUAGAAAUACACCAUGCUUCCCUUACAUAUUUACCCUUACACAUAAUGCAUCCAUCACAUACACAAUGCAUCCCACACACACACCCGCCCGCAAUGCCGCCCUUGUACACACAAUGCAUUCCUUACAUACAAAAACACACAAUGCAUCCCUUACGCACACACCCUACACACAUACACUCCACUCGCUGUGAGCGAACUCAUGUGUGGGCAAUGUAGGUGGACUUAUGGGCAGGCCUUGUAGGCAUACGCACAGUCAGGCCCUUGGGGCCCAGACCUUGAGCUGUGUAAGGGGCCCAAAAAAUGGAGCUGCUUCCUGUUUGUUGAUUUUUGUGAGCACUGAUACAAACAGCCUCCAGAGAGCCUGUUCUACACCAGACCAGAAGAGCCAGACUGCAGCCUGAGCCCAACAUUCUCCUCUUGUCCUCAUUUGGUGGUAAGUAUGCAAUGCAGUAUAUUAUUAGUGGCACUAAUCUCUAACUUACCUCACAUUAAAGAGACACUCUAGUCACCAGAACCACUGGAGCUUAAUGUAGUGGUUCUGGCGUCUAAAGCCUAACCCCUGCAGGCUUUUUAAUGUAAACACACUGCCUUGUCAGAGAAAAGACACUGUGUGCAGCACUGGCGUUGGCCCAUAUGGCAGAUCAUAUGGAUGGGGCAUUGUGAUGUCAUAUGGUGGGCAGAACAUAUGGGGGGGCAGAAGCAAAAAUCCUUACACCGGCCCUGUGCCUAAUAUAUCCCACGCAUUGACAGGUGCCAUUGUAACAAUAUAAUCAAUGGUAUUCACCUGUCAGUGAAUUUAAUUGUUGUCUAAUGUAUAUUCCCUAUUAUCUGGUUGGCUAAGGAUUGGAAAGUCUCAGAGUACCGGAGAGAGUGCUAACAUCUGUCAAGCAGCUAUUAAACAAAUAUUCAGAGAGUAACCAGAGAUUACUAGCUGCAAUGGUUAUGUUGGGUGUUUAUUUGGGUUCCUUAUUUAUUUGCUCUUUGUAGAUAUCGUUUUUUUUUUCUUUUUUAGUGAAAUGAUUUUUUAAAUGGGCACCAUCACUUCUUUUGAAAUUGCACCGCUGAAAAAAGAUUUUGCAGUGUGCACUUUGCAGAUUGCAAACCUAACAAUUGAAGCCUAGAAAAAUGUUACCUGGUUUGACUUGUCUUGGCUGCAAAAAGCGAUUGGAAAGGUCAGAACUGGAAUAUACUGGAAUCCACGAUGCAUUAUGCUUUAGGUGAAUAAUACAGGCUGGUGAGGAAGCACCUUUGUCAUAAAGUGGAUAAUUGCAGAAAGAGAUGAUUGCAGCAUGAAUGUGUGGCCAAAUAAUCUGUGUGGGUUGCAUGAGACCAUUGACACAUAUUGGAUCCUAACAAAUGUUACCAGAAUUCAUGUCAUGAAUAAUUCUGUGUGGUCGGGAGACAAAAUAGGGACCUACUACAUAGUGUGCACUUCAGUAAACCUAAUCGUAUAAACCACUAAGAGUCACAGAACUAAAUGAAAACUAUACAUCCUGUAACGGGACAUACAUGCUAACAGACUGUCUACAUUUGGUCAAAACCCGAAACAUGAAAAAAUAACUAGAGAAUGAGGAACUUUUGAUAGAAAUGGGUCGACACAGACUUACAGACCAGAAAAAGGCAGGAGUUCUAGGAAGUGCCAGAUUACACAGUUUAUCUUUAACAAGACCUCCUGUUUUAUUUAUUGCAGAAUCUAUGACAGGAGUGCCCAAACUCAGGAUGUUUUGUUAGACCUAUAUCUUUUGGUUGGUUAGUCUACAUCAUUGUAAUGAAUUUAUAUUUAUAUAAAAUAUGAUCCCAAAUGACCACGACCACAACAACUGAACACAUUAUGUCAGGUUAUGGCUGAAUUAGGAAUGGGUUAUUGCGCAAAAAAAUGUAAGCAGGAAAUUUGUAAGGUUGAAAAUGCAUAGAUUGGCUUUGGAAAUACAGGAAUACAUUUCACUGGGAAAGUGGAAUUAAGGUUAGAAUCCCUCCAGUAUCUGAUAUUCUAAACAUGAAAUAUUACAUAUCUACAUUUAUGCAAUGGAUUCAGAACAUUUAGUAUCUAUCUAUCUAUCUACACAAACUUUUUAAUGGCAGACCUUUGUAAAAAUCUGGUGCUGUUCUCUUUUUUGCCACUUAUGCAGCUGAGCACUGAUAAAUAGUCUUUAUUUGUUUGUGUCCUAAACAGUGGCCCCCCUUCCUUAUUCUCCACUUAUGAGGAUGACUGCAGCUGCAGGCUAUGUGAAUAGGUUUUCAUGCAAUCUUUGAAGAAAGUGGGACAAAGGGACUAUUCUCUAUAAGACCCCAGACUGCAGCUGGACACCCCUCCUCUGUGCUCGGCCUCUCUCCCAUAUAACUGUUCCAGACAUGAUGGAGAUCUGCAUUCCAAUACUGCACAUUCUGGAUCUUGGGGUGCUGGAUGGACUUAAAAGAUGGCUGCCAAUAGUAACCUAACACUGUCCUUUAUUGUGGGAAUAAAGAACAUUUAUAAAUGGGGACAGGGCUGGGAAAAGAGCUAACAGCAGAUACUGUGACAAGUAAUGGCAGAAUGUGCAGUUAAUUGGCACAUUACUAUUAUUUACAUGUAUUAUGUAUACAUUAAUAUUGGAUACUGUGUAAUGCCUUCAUGGUUGUGAUUCACCAAAUACAAUCAUUUAUUUAGUGUUCGUUUAUUAAUAUAGCCUCAAGAAACCCAUAAUCUGAGUUUUAUGCUGUUGUGUUAUGUCAAACCCUACAAAUAAACCACAAAUGUCAGUGACAGUUUAUGUUGCAUAUUGUAUAGAGGAAUUACAUAGAAUGAAUCAGAGAUUCUUCAAUUUAUCUUAAUGGCUUCAAAUUAUUAUUUUUUUGUUAUUCAUGAUAACAUCAAUUACUGUAUUCAAAUAGUUUCAUUGGAUUCAAACAUUUGGAGGGUGUUUCUCAUUCGAAGGGUGUUUCUCAAUUGCCAAAAAAACCCUAGACUAGUGAUAUCAAUUUCUAUCCUAAAAUCCUGCAAAAGUUUUAGAAUUGUUUUUAUUUGAUUUCUAAUUGUAUCUGGGUACUGUUCUUUGACUGAUCUUACUGUUUUACCUGAGUGCCCAUUAUAUUGUAUUAAAUGGAUAAUGUUUUUUUUACAUUAUGUUAGUCAAAUUUUACAUGUAUUGAUUACAUUUUGUCUGUAUAUUGUUAUUUUAACGUUUAUAACAUUGACCUAAAGAGGUACAAAUGGUAAAUAUGGAUACUGCAGUACCAAAAUGAUGCAGAUAGCAUCCCGCAAUGAUAUUAGACUUUAAGGUCAGAAUUCUGACUUCAUCACACUACAUAUAAGUAUGCAAGCAUUCAUUUAUAACCACAGUGACAGCCAUUUACAUGAAGCAUCUGUCAUUGCACAUGAUACAAACCAUUUUAAUUCCAACAAAAACAUAUAAAACGUUAUCCUGAAAUAUAUGUAUGUAUUAAGGACUAGAUUACGACCUGUGAUUAAGUGCUUGUCCUAAGAAUGGGACACUGUAUGUUGUAACUGUGUUUGUAACGGCAUGUUGUGUCUGCCAUAAAGUUUUUUACCAUCAUUAAAGACAGUGUGGUUCCAAUCUGAAACCUAUACACUCUCUGGAAACAUAUACACUCUCUAGGUGUACUAGAGAGAAAGGUAUUGGAGAGUCCAAGAAAAAAAAAGACAUUAUUCUUUGUUUUGAUCAUAAUCAGAUGGUUUUAUGAAGGUUUUCAGCCCCUAAAACAAGGCUGAAAGAUGGCUGAUAUUUAGGCUGGCAUAUAGAAAUAGACAUUAGUAGGAAACAUGGUGAAAGACGCGUUAAUAUUCUGCCCAAGGCAGAUUUUUUUUAUUGUUUACCAUUAUUUGCCAAGGACACCAUGUGACAGUAGCCAGGAGCCUGUCUGAUGGAAGCAGGCAUAAUGAAACGCGUAAUUGUUUUCUGGAUGUGACACUGCGUGAGACGAUGCUCGGACUGCAGGAUAAGGACAUGCCAGGAUUAUAAUUUAAAGCCUUAGUUUUCUUUGGCAUAUCAGAUGUGUUUAUUUAUGUGUUCCCCUCUCUCCUUUGAUUGUUUUCCACCUGACUGAAUAGUAAUGGAGAUUUAUUACGGAAGUUUUCGAGAAAGGAAACAAAAAAAACUUUUUUACAUUUUUAAAAAAAGUUUUAAACAAUUUUGUCUUGCGUAAGUACUCACCAUCUACUGGAUCUUUCUACAUUUUAUUUUGUCACAACUUAGAAUUAAAAUUGUUUCAAUUAAGAACGUGUCCAAGCUGACAAUAUAGACCAUUGUUUGACGAGUCACCUUCAUAGAGUAACUAGGCCACAGCUUCAUCUAUUGCAGGUCCUUGAGAAUAAAAACAAUACAAAAAAAGAAUAUUGGAGCUUCCGUGCAAGAAAGUGCACAAUGAGAACCUGCACCUGAGCUCUCAAGGUGGGGACAGCAUCCGAAGGUCAUCGCUCUUUUCAAUGAUACCACAGACUAUAAAGCCUUGCCUAUGGAGUAUAUAGGCACCUUGGCUUCAGAAUGCAAAAUACAUUCAAAGUUACAGAACCGCAGUACUAUGAUCCAGGAAGAUUCUGGUAUAGUGGCAGGACUAGGGUCCAGCACAGACCACUUAAAAAUCUAAAUGGAUAGUGUCGAUAUGGUAUAUUAUUACCCACUGGAAUGGAUAGCAACCUGGAGAUGAUCAUGCACUAAUGAAGGACAAAGAUGACUACAUGGAGCACCACUUUUUAAAAGCUUACUCCUCUAUAAUGUAUUACAAGUUUUCAAGUUUGGGCAACAGACACUUUUCACUGACAUGUGAGGAGCGACUAUAGAGUUUUUUACUAAAUCAGAUAUAUCUAAUAAGACUGGUAAAUGAUAAAAAAUAUUCAUCCCAGAUUAUUACUUUGGCAACCAAAACCCAAGUGAAGCUCUGCCAUGUUUGACAGAAAUUUUGCGCAUUUUAUCUGAUACACACAAACUGCAAGCAACCCUCAUCAUGUCAAUAGGUGCAUGUAUUGUUGUCUUGACUACUGUGAUGGCAGUUUUUUUUAUAACUCCGACAACUAUUAAAAUGGGAGAUGAAACCUAUAUUCACAUGUGGUAGGAGGUGCAAUCUUAUUAUGGAAAUAUUAAAGGAUCACUAUAGUGUCAGGAAAACAAACUUGUUUUUCUGACACUAUAGCAUCCUUAGGACCCCCCCCACCCUCAGGGUCCCCCUCCCUUGGUGCUGAAGGGGUUAAAACCAGUUCAGCUACUUAACUUUAUCCAGCGCUGGGCUCCCUCGGCGCUGGUGACCUCUCCUCCCCCACCGACGUCAGCUCCCAAGUGGAACGGAAUGCGCAUACACAGCAAGAGCUGCGCGUGCAUUUCUCAAUGCUUUCCUAUGAACAUUCUGCAAAAUUUGCAUCUUGCGUCGCAGAAGCGUCUCAAGUGGCUGUCAGGGAGACAGCCACUAGAGGCUGGCUUAACCCUGCAAUGUAAACAUAGCAGUUUCUCUGAAACUGCUAUGUUUCCAUCUGAAGUGUUAAAACCUGGGGGACCUGGCACCCAGACCACUUCAUUGAGCUGAAGUGGUCUGGGUGACUAUAGUAUCCCUUUAAGGAAUUAUUGAGGGAUGUUCUUGAUAGGGAUUAUGCUAAAUCCUUGGGUGUAUUUAUUGGCCAGACCCCUAGAUGAAAACGGAACAAAAACUUCUACAUAAAUUGAACUUGGCAGCCAGAAGGGCUUUAGCUCAAUCUUGGUUACAGCGGGAGACCGCUUCUAUGGAAGUAGUAAUUUAAAAAAAUGAAAGAUACUUAUCUUAUGGAUAAAUUGACAGCUCAAGUAAGAAGCACUGUGAAAGCAUUUGAAAAAGUAUGGGACCCUUGUAUGACCAGUGAUGUGGGCGGUUAGGGCAUUGGCGGAGUGGGUUCAGUCCCCCACAUUUCCUGCUUCUCUCUGCUUUCCGUCCCACUUAGUUGCUGGGUUAAAUGAUAGACCCUCUUCCCCCUGGCACAGAAAGUAUAUGAACUAGCUGAUAACUUUUACCACUUCAGCUGGAAGGCUAUUCCAUGCAUCCACUACCCUCUCAGUAAAGUAAUACUUCCUGAUAUUAUUUUCAAACCUUUGCCCCUCUAAUUUAAGAUUAUGUCCUCUUGUUGUGACAGUUUUUCUUCUGUUAAAUGUCCUUUACUGUGUUGAUUCCCUUUAUGUAUUUAAAUGUUUCUAUCAUAUCCCCCAUCUCAUCUUUCCUCAAAGCUCAUGUUAAGUUCCUUUAACCUUUCCUUGUAAGUUUUAUCCUGCAAUCCAUGAACCAGUUUAGUAGCCCUUCUCUGAACUCUCUCUAAAGUAUCAAUAUCCUUCUGAAGAUGCGGUCUCCAGUACUGCAUACAAUACUCCAAGUGAGGCCUCACCAGUGUUCUGUAUAAUGGCAUGAGCACUUCCCUCUUUCUACUGCUAAUACCUCUCCCUAUUCAACCAAGCAUUCGGCUAGCAUUUCCUGCUGCUCUAUUACAUUGUAUGCCUACCUUUAAGUCAUCAGAAAUAAUCACCCCUAAAUCCCUUUCCUCAGAUGUUGAGGUUAGGACUCUAUCAAAUAUUCUGUACUCUGCCCUUGGGUUUUUACGUCCAAGAUGCAUUAUCUUGCACUUAUCCACAUUAAAUGUCAGUUGCCACAACUCUGACCAUUUUUCUAGUUUACCUAAAUCAUUUGCCAUUUGGCUUAUCCCUCCUGGAACAUCAACCCUGUUACAUAUCUUAGUAUCAUCAGCAAAAAGACAUACCUUACCAUCAAGACCUUCUGCAAUAUCACUAAUAAAAACAUUACAGAGAAUGGGUCCAAGUACAGAUGCCUGAGGUACCCCACUCGUGACAAGCCCACGCUUCGAAUAUUCUCCAUUGACUAACACAUUGCAUCCACUACACAAACACACACACUGCAUCCACUACACAAACACACACACUGCAUCCACUACAUAGACACUGCAUUCACUACACAAACACAGAUACUGCAUUCACUACAUAAACACUACAUUCACUACACAGACACUACAUUCACUACACGCUGCAUCGCAUCCACUACACAAACACAGACUACAUACACUGCACCCACUACACAAAUACACACUGCAUUUAAUAUACACACACUCUGCAUUAACUACACACACUGCAUCCACUACACCGACACUGCAUUCACUACACAGACACUACAUUCACUACACACUGCAUCCACUACACAGACAUUGCAUCCCCGACCCCUACACAAACACAGACUGAGCUGUGUAAAGGGUCCCACAAUUUCUGAUGGCAGGCCUGAUUAAAAGUGCGGACAAGCUAUGUUUCAAAGCUUCUGCCCAUGAAAAUAAUGCUCUGUUUAGGUCUACUAAGUGAAAUAUUUACCCCAAAGGUCUGCAGUUUGACAGCUAUGGUAGUUCGUCCAGGGGCUCCUACCAUAGCUGUCAAACUACAGACCUUUUGAGUAAUCAACUCUAGCGGGGAUUGGGCUAUCAGACCCCUCGUUCUAUGCAGUAUUCUACUUAGAUGCACUGUCCUGUGCUACUUUCUCACGAUUAGAUGAUACUUUGACAUGAUGUACAUCGUUCCUUAUAUCUGAUCUAGCUAGUGUAGCAGAUUAUGUUUAGACUUAGGUGCCCUUGAAGGCACAGAUAUGCAUAUCCAGUUCAGCACGUCCUACUACUAGAAAACGGUCAGCUACUUAUCAACUCCGUUCCUGUAUUGUCUCUAGCUAGUGUAGCAGUUUUUGCUCUCAUUUAGGUGCCCUUGAAGGCACAGAUUUGCUCACUUAGACUAGGAGCUUGUGCAGACUUAGUUACCUUCUGCAUAGAUUGGAUUAACUCUGCAGGAACCGACACGUAAAUACUUCGUACUUGUUUUUUAGAUUGACAUUUCGCUAUAAUACUAUAUUGUAUCCACGGACACAGCAUUCUAUUUUUAGACUUUUAGUAAUUAUAGGUGCAUCUACAGAUACUUUGGACCUAUGCACCAUUACUCUGGUGUUCCUUUGGGGUCAGGGCCGGCGCUACCUGUUAGGCGGACUAGGCAGCCGCCUAGGGCGGCCCCCCUAAUGCUGCAGCCGCCCGAGCGCUCUGUAGAGAGCCUCAGGCUGCUGCAGCUUUGCCCGGGCUGGUGCGUCCAUGAGGGCGCACCGCCCGGGCGCAGCAUGAGGAGAGGUGCUGACAGGAGGGAAGUGCUCAGCGCUCAGCACCCCCUCCUGUCACUCCCUCACUGUAGCGUGGCCAAGCUCUGUAUGGUCCGCGGAUACAGGGAGCAUCUGUCUCCUGUACCCGGCCGGACUAACAGGAAGGGCAGUGCUUCCUUUUAGUCCGGCCGGGUACAGGAAACAAAAGCUCCCUGUACCCACGGACCAUACAGAGCUCAGCCACGCUACAACAGUGGUGGGGGGAAAUACAGAAAUUGAAGGGGGAGAAGGAAAUUUGAGAGGGGGGAAGGAAAGAGAGGGAGAAAGAAACUGAGGGGGAGCAAACUGAGAGGGGAAGAAGAAGGAAACUGAAGAGGGGGAGGAAACUGAGUGGGGAGGAAGGAAACUGAGGAGGGGGGAUAAGGAAAUUGGAGCAGGGGAGAAGGAAACUGAAAGAGGGUGGGGGAGAAGAAGGAAAUUGGAGGGGGGGAGAAGAAGGAAAUUGGAGAGGGGAGAAGCAAACUGAGAGGGGGGAAAGAAGAAGAGAGGGGAAGAAACUGGAGAGGGGGGAGAAGAAGGAAAUUGAGAGGGGAGGGAGAAGAAGGAAAUUGAGGGGGAAGGAAUGGAGGGGUGGGGAGCAGAAAUUGGAGGGGGGAGGAAAUUGGAUGGGGGGAGAAGGAAAUUGACGGGGGGGAGAUUGACAUCCAUCACACACACACACACAAUCACACACAAUGCACCCCUUGCACACAGAAAAACACACAAUGCAUUACACACACAGACACAUACACAAGCAAUGCAUCCCUUACACACACAGAAACACACAAUGCAUUCAUUACACACACUCAAUGCACCCCUUACACACACUCAAUGCAUCCCUUACAGACCCACUCACUGCAUCCCAUACAUACACAAACACACCUCGCAGCCCUUACACAUACAAACACAGAUUCACACAAUGCAUUCCUUACACACAUAUCAGGACAUCCCCUACACACUCCACCCCCUGUGAACAAACUCAUUGGUGGAACAUGAAGGUGGACCCUGGGACCCAGACCUUGAGCUGUGUAAAGGGCCUCCAAAAAAUGGAGCUGCUUCUCGUUGUCCCAGAAUAUUGAUUUUUGUGACCACAGUUACAAACCACCUUCAGAGAGCCUGUUCUACACCAGACCAGUAGAGCCAGACUGCAGCUAGAGCCCAUCAUCAUCCUCAUCUCGUUGUAAGUAGGCAAUCUAGUAUAUUAUUCGUGGCACUAAUCUCUAAUUUACCUCACAUUAAAGAAACACUAUAGUCCCCAGAACCACUGCAGCUUAAUGUAGUGGUUCUGGUGUCUAUAGCCUGUCCCUGCAGACCUUUUAAUGUAAACACGGCGGCACAGCAGCACUGGCGUUAGUUAACAUGGCAGAUCAUAUGGGUGGGGCAUUGUGAUGUCACAUGGGGGGGGGCGGCAAACUUUACUUUUGCCCAGGGGGGCAAAAAUCCUUGCACCGGCCCUGUUUGGGGUCCUAGCAUUUAACUAUUCUGGGGUACACUUUAGUGAUAUUAUCCUUUAACUAUUGGCACCAGUAACAGUAGUGUGCCAUACGUUUUAUAUUUGAUAUUUCACUCUCAACUUAGUAAGAGACUUAGGCUCUUCAGGCUCUCUGCAGUAACUAUAUAUAGAGAUACUUUGUCUCCACUUUAUUAGUUAGUUCAGUUACUGCAAGUUUGUACCUCAAACGUUUAUCAGCCCUUGAGCUGUCUUUUCCCUCGUGUUAAAGAAACCCCUUAGACAUAUGACCAGCUGUUAUUAUUAUUUACUUUGCUUCAUUUCUUUUUCAGCCACUCAUACCCUCCUCCCCCCUCCCUGUUUGGUUUUGAUUUUUUCUUAGUGUGAUUUCAUUAUAACUAGAUUUCUCUCUAUAUUUUCUCUUAAUCUGUGUAUUAAAAGUUACAUUUUAAUUCCAUUUUUGGCCUCGGACAGAAUAUUUCCUCUCUGUUUUCUAGGGGCUAGUGAUAUACUCAACUGAUGUUCCUGAUUACAGUGAAUGGGAUUUUAUAAUAAUGGCAAACUAAAGCUUAAAAAUAAAUGCAGCAAAAAUACAAUUUGUAAUAUUACAAAUUAUUACAACAAACUUAGUAAAAGAAAUGUGGAGAAAAAUGGCACUUCAAUAAAGCUCAAACUAUAUCAUAUGAAAGUCCCCAUGUGUCCUCACCAUAACUUAGCCCAAUAUAGUGAUUUUUACAGUGGCACAAAUGAAGUUUACAAACUAAAUCCCUAAAUGGCAAUGUGCAUGUAAAAACACACACACUCACACACACACACACACAAAACAACAAUAUAAAUGUUGAAAGAAAUUUCUAAAAAAAAAAUGUCUGUACCUUUAAGGUGCAAAUUAUACCAUAUGGCAUACCUUGUGGUGUCUACCUUUCCAAAUGGUAUGCAUUUAUUUGAACUGCUGUAAUGCUGCAAAGUGAGACAUAGGGUCAUAAUAUCCAAUUAUAACUCUAAUUGUAAAAACUGAAAUAGUCAGGUCUCAUUUAUAGUUUUGUAACAUCACAAAAUAGUGGCAAAGUCAUAGAUUGGGGGUGUUGCUAACUCUGAAAAGUACGCUAGGCAUACUUUUGGUGGAAAGAUCAUAGUGGCCGAUAUCAGUUUCACGAAAUGCCCUACAAAAAUGCAAUGUGUAUGUAAACAAAUGUAAAAUAAAAAUAUCACUGCAAAUUUUGACAGAACAUGGUGAACAAAUGGCAGCAUAACAACCACCAUAUGAGAUACCAUGGAAUGUCUAUUUUCACAAAUGUUAGGUCUUUGUUGGGUAAUAUGAAAAGUCAAACUGGUAUGAUGCUCAAAAUGAGACAAAUCCAUCUAUCAAAAUUCUAAUUGUAAAAUCUGAAAUGGUCAGAUUUCUUAUAUGGCACUUUAAUUUCACAGAGAUAUUGGCAAAAGCAUAUAUUGGGGUAUUAUCAGAACAACUGAACACUAUUUGAGGUUUUGUACAGGAUUAGCACACAUCAGGCUUAUUGGGUUUAUUAAAAAUAAUAUAUAAAAAAAGAGAUUGUCAGUUAAAUGUAAAAAGUCAAAAGUCAAAAUACCCUUACAUAGAUACUCUCUGAUGUCUACUUUAUAUAAAUAUAUACUUUCAUGUGGCAAUUGUGUUUUCUGUAAUGGCUAUUAAACUUUCAAAACAAACAUACUAAAUUCUAAAAUCGCUCCACAUUGGAAUUGUAUUUUACUCCAUGAAUUUUGUGCAAUGUAACUACCAUCGAUAAACAGAAAUCCUACACAUAUUAUGUUCUCUGUAAGUCUGGACAAUACAUUUAUUUUGAAUAACUUUUCUUCUUGAGUUGCACUAAUUAUGUACACGUUAUUUUGCCAAAACUGUGAAAAAAUGUGUUUGUAAUUUUGUGUAUUUUUUAAUAAAUGAGAAUUUAUGUAUGCAUAUGUCACAUCAAAUUAAAGUAUUUUUUGUCUUUUAAAGGACCACUCCACACUUACAAAAAACAAACACCCCCAUCCACAGUUUAGUAUAUAUACCCCCAAUGAAUACAUACAUGCAUAUUGUUAUAUAUGUAAUCAUUGGAAGUAUAGCCUAAAACGACUUCAAAAGCUGCAGUUCUUAUGACUGCAGACUUUGUAAGCCCUCCCCUUUUUCACAGGAAGUGACUUUCAGUCACUUCAAGUUGAAUUGAUCAAUCAGAGGCUUCUCAUAGGCACAUGGCUUUCUUCAACUGAAUCUGAGAGCCGUAUGUAACCCAGUGUACAGUUUCACUGAACUUUGCCGACUGACAGGAUUUUUAUUUGUUAUUUGUAAAAGUACCUCUACAUCACACAUCUACAGGGAAUAAAUUAAAUACAUAUUUAUUGUAUAUAUAUAUAAAUAUAUAUAUAUAUAUAAAACUAUUUUCUUCUUUUUCAAGAAAUCAGUAUUUGUAAAGCGAAUAACUAUAUCAUGAUAACUAUAUAAUCUAUCUUUAUCUACCUAUCUAUUUUUCUACCUAUCAAUAUCCACCUUUAUCAUUGUCUAUCUACAUGUAUAUUUAUAUUUCUAUCUCAAGCUAUAUCUAUAUCAAUAUAUCUUUAUCUAACUAUAUUUAUUCAUCUAUAUCUUUCUGUCUCUUUCGCUAUAUCUAUCUAUACUUAUCUGUAUAACUAUAUUUCUCAAUCUCAGUAUCUAUCUUUCUAUAAGUUUAUAUAGCUCUUUCUAUCGAUAUCCAUAUAACUGCAUUUGUGGUCAGGGCAGUAUUGCCGUAAUGGUAAGAUAACAUAUAAUUCGUAUACAAUAAAACAUAGUUUUACAACCGACAAUGCAGUAGGCCUGUAAUAAAGAGGGCCCACCUUAGAGGGUGAUGAGAAUAAAGGGAGUGGUGGGAGGGGUAACUCGCCAGACAAACAACGGUAAGGUGGGACAGGUUUGGAAGCCCUUAUAAAGGGGACCCAAGCACCUCCCAAAACUACAGGCCCAGUUUUAAAUUUGUGGUCAGGGCAAUAUUGCCGUGAUGGUGAGAUAACAUAUAAUUAGUUUACAAUAAAAGAUAGUUAAUAACACCUGUCAGUUGUGGUGGUCCGGAACCGACAAUGCAGUAGGCCUGUAAUAAAGAAGGUAAAAAGAAGUGUACCAUACAAAAUGUAUUCAUACUACAAACAUCAAUUAUUUGGACAAAUCUCUCUAAAUGCUUGCCGUAACUCUUUAACUGGGUUUGGUAUGUAUAGAGUCUAAGCAGAUGAUUUCCAGCGUCCCAUAGCUUUAUUAUAUGAGCUGGAAUGUGGUUAGAGGAAGCAGUUGAUGCUGCCCCAAUGCAGAAAGAGUGUCCUGAGUAAUGAUUUGCAUUUAGGCCAGGUUUAGUCAGUAUCAUACGGACAUAGAGCAUAAAUUUAGCAAUAGUGAGAAUGGAACUGUGUAGUUCUAAUAUUGGUUGGUGUGGUUGUUUGUGGAAAGUGUUGAAAUAUGUAUCCAAAACCUUAAUGGGGCACUAUUUAUUAUGGGUAGGGAUCUGUAUAACUAUAUUUCCCAAUCUAUCUCCGUAUCUAUCUUUCUAUAAACUUCUUAUUCAAAUAUUUUUUUGCAGAUUUUUCAAAUAACAACGUAAACAUUUACACAAUAAGAUAUAAUAAUAUUAAUUAACACCAGCCCACUAGCACUAACAAGUGGCCGCCGGCUGGGGAGGGAGAGGAGAGGAGGACCCAGGGGAGCUCUAGCAAGCAGCUCCACAGGGUUCCUCUCAUGAGGUCAGAGCGUUGCCGUGGUUACCAUGGCAACGCUCUGAUCUCGUGACAGUCAGUUCACCACUAGUACCACCAGGGAUUCACCCCCACUACGACCACCAGGGAUUCACCUCUAUGUCCCCCCUCCCAGGCAAAGGUAAGAAGGGAGGGGGGAUAUAAAGUAUAGAAUAAUUUUUUUUAAAAUAAAAAACAAACAUAUGUAUUUAUUACUUUCAUCUUCCCCCCACUGCACACCGAACACACACACACGCUUACUACACCCUUCACACCCUUCACUCCUGACACACUGCACCCUCCACACAGAUACACACAUACACAUAGCACCCUUCAUACACACUGCACCCUUCACACAGACACACACAUACACACAGGACCUUUCAUACACACUGUACCCUUCACACAGACACACACAUACACACUGCACCUUUCAUACACACAGCACCUUUUAUACACACUGCACCUUUCACGCACACAUACACACUGCACCUCUCACACACACACUGCACCUCUCACACACACACAUGCACCUCUCAAACACAGCCUAACACUGCACCCCUCACACACACACCACUCAUCCCCCCCCACACACCAAACACACACUCACACUGCACUCCUCACACCCUGCACCCUUCACACACACACACACACACAAACACACAAACUGCACUCACACACUGAACUCUUCACACAGACACAUACACACACUGCAGCCUUCAUACACACACUGCACCUCACACACACUGCACCCCUCACACACACAAACACACACAUACAGACACUAACUACACCCUUCACACACUGCACUCCUCACACACUGCACCUUUCACACACACACACUGCAGCCUUCACACACAGUGCACCCUUCACACACACACACACUGCAACCCUCACACACACUGCAACCCUCACACCCUCACACACACGCUGCACUCCUUACACACAUACAAACACACACAUUGCACCCUUCAAAAGCCUUGAACCAACAUGCUCACUUUGAGAGGGAGUGUGCUUGUCAUUGGUGAUGACAAAUCACCCCCUCUCUGGCCCUGCCCCCUUCUCAGAGGGCCGCUGUGACUCAAAAAUGUCAUAUAUCCAUAUAACUGUAUCUAUCUAUCUAUCUAACGUUUUUUCCUCUAUAGCUUUCUAACUCACAGACUGCAGGAGGGAGAGCAGAGAGUCUGUUUAGCGGCAGUCAGGAGGAAGGAGGGUGAGCUUGGAGCAUGCAGGAGGAAGGAGUGUGGGUUGGCCAUCUUAGAGGUUGCAGGCUGGAAGGCUGGAGGUCGCACACGAUUGCGAUAAAAUAAACGUAAAAAAAAAUAAAAAUACAGGAAAAGUGGGAUUGCAGGCACGUUCUACUAGAUCGAUAGAGUUAACGGAAGUAGGGAAUGAAUAUCCCCAGCUGUUUGAUUGACAGCUGAUGAGGCAUUCCUAUUGUUAAAGAUAAAAGUGCCAAUAAUACAAUGAAUUUGGCACUUUUAUAAAUGGAACUUUUAAAGUGAUACUCUAUAGCCAUAGAGCAUUUCAGCAAGCUGAAGUGCAGUAUGGGUCUGGAGUGGUUCUUUAAGGUAUUGUAUAUAAUAUGUGUUGGUGGAAUAAAUGACAAAGAUGGAAAUCAUGGUUGAACACACAUAUUGCAAAAAUGCCAAAAUUGCGUCCUUAAAGGGUUACUCCAACCACUAUGACUACUGCUUUUAAAAGUGGUCAUGGUGGUAGAAGUCUGUAUGUGCAGCAUACUGAUUGAAACACUGCACAUCCAGAGAUGUAUUUAUACCCUCGGCACACAAGACUUUGACAGCCCGGAACUCUGUUCCAUACUGCUAAAAUGUAAAUUCUGUGCAAAAAUACGUCCAUCGUCAGUGUGCACUGCACGUUAGCAACAAACGUGAUUAUACUCUCCCUUGCUGGCAGCACCUACAAGGGAAAGUGUUUAUCUCCACUUCCUCCUUCAGUGAAGCCCUCCCUCCUCCCUAUUCCCGUCUUUUUAGUCUAUUUAUUUAUUUUUAAUUUUCUCUCCUUGUCACCCUCCCUUCCCUCUCUGGACUGCCAAAAGUCAGUUAUGUGCAAAAAAUAUGUCCACUGUGAGAGCACAUUGCAGGUAAUCGUUUAUCUCUCCUCCCUCCCUUCUAUUUCAUCACUUAUUUUAGGGUUGAGAUCUACAGAGUAAUGCUCAAUAGUGCAUUAUAAAGGGAAAACGCAUACAGUAAAAAAGAGCUGGACCCUUAAAGCACAACACAAGCAAACUGAAGCUUGGUCCUUAAGGGGUUAGUAAAUGUGAUUAUAUUUUUGAUGGAAGGCAAGCAUCUCCGCAUAAGUCAGAGAGAGGAGACCCUAACAGCUCACAGUUUAUCAGCUGAUCAAGCAGGAAACACACAUUAAUGGAGCCAAUUCUCUCAGCUGAGAAAACUGUAUGUCAUUUGAAAAGCACAAGCUUUUGUCUAAAAAUUCCCUGGCAUUCUUAAAAAUAGCCUUUUCUUCAGAAAAAUCAGAAAUUACUUUUUAAAGGGUGUGACAAGAUUCCAUUACAAAGACGUAAUUAACCCAAUGUGAUUUCAAAUUAUAUCACACAGAAGAACACAAAUGAAGUACAAAUGAAAAACAAAUCUCAGAAGCCUUUAACAGUGAUUUACACAUUGGACUAUUCACUAAAAGUGCGAAUUAUUGAAAAUUCAAAUUGAAUUUUAAAAUUUACGCCCGAACAGUGGAAUUUAACACAUUGCUUCUUUAACCCCUUAAGGACACAUGACAUGUGUGACAUGUCAUGAUUCCCUUUUAUUCCAGAAGUUUGGUCCUUAAGGGGUUAAACAAUUUUUUUCUAAUUUGGCUAUAUUGGCCUAAAAUUUAAAAUUCACUGUAAGUAUCUCUGAUAGUCUUACGUAACCUUCCUAGAUUUGCAGCCCCCAGGACCUUCUACCAUCAAUAUGUUAUAUCUCUGUUAUGUUUCAUAAAAUGUUUACUUCAAGGUCAGCUAUGUUUGAUUACACAGGGCUGGGUGGAAACUGAUUGCUCCUUAUGAUACAUUUAAAAACAAAGUGCAUAAAAUGGUGGAUAAUGCUUUGGUCAUACGGCAGUCUCGUGGCAAGUACUUUCUGUCAUCCAACGUGCCUAAUCACAUUUAACAAACAAAUAAGUAACGUCUAAUCCCUACUGCGGCCAUGAAUAUUGUGCACAGAUUUUUUCUUCAAGCCUGCAGUUCAGAUGGCGGACAGCAUAGUCCCACCCUUCUCUCCACUGCGCUGAUUGGCUGCAUGGCCACCAUUUUCAUGGUGACAUGGUUAAUUAGCACACAAAAACAACAAGUCCAAAGUGAAGAUCAGAUAUUUGGAGUCAGUACCAAAGUCUUACUGCAAUCACACACAAACCUCAUAUUCUAGAAUAUUUUAUUUAGUAUUACUAAUCAAUAUAAAGCACAAUAAUUAAUACUCUAUAAAUCCAUUUACUUUAAGCAGGGCCGAUAACACAUGACCCGUGUUGUUCUUGUUUGCACACUCAUUUUGCUUCUACAUAAAUGGUUAUUUAAUGUAACAGAUAUUUUGGUGCUACACAAACAUUAAUAGUUUUAGAAUGGUAAUGGCCAAAUGUGUCUGCAUACGUUAAAUAGGUAAAUAUCCAAAAUAGUUUUGGCACAGCUGUGCAUUCUGAUUGGGAUAUUAUAGGCCCUUUAAGAGGGGAGACUUUUCAUUGCUUCGAGAUGCUAUGGAUAGAACUGUGGUGGGAAUGGCUUAGAUAUCAGAAAAGGACAAACAACAGUAGCAGAUGAUAACAAGUAAACAAUUACGGUGAAUGGGAAUUUUAUCACAUGACAGGAGGCUUCGUAUUUUGCAUAAUCUUUCUUUACUAACUCCAUUGCAGCAAAGAAAAGAGUGACAAAACUGAGAACCAAUCACAAUGCAGUAUAGAGUAUAAGAGGUGUAACAUAUGACAUAAUUUCCUCUUUCUUUGCUGCUCCAUCACAAGCUAAGUACAAAUUUUGUUCUCUCGUCAUUCAGCUCAUAUAUAUACUUUACACAUUUAUAUACUUUACUCUGUCUUUAUUUUGCAUAGUUCUGUCUUGUAUAUUUUCCUAUAUUUAUUCUUGACAUAUACACUUUUUACUAUUGUCCCCAUUUCGGGGGGCUAACCCUCUCCCCUGAGGUCUGCCCCCUGUUUUCCCUCAGGGAAUUCCCUUAGGGACCUUUCUCCCCCCUUUUCACUACACUGGCACUUUGCCUCAGGCUUCUACAGAUAACUUUCACGGUUCCCGCCGUCCAUUCCCCUCCUCCAUACUCCCUUCACAGUUUUUUUCCUGUGCGCUUGCGCACAGACGCUUCAAAUUCUUCAACCGAACAUUUCUCGUUCGGCAGUUUGUCGCGAUCGCCUGUUUACUCGCGAACGCCAGUAGUUUUCUGUGCGUUCGUAUUGUCAUUUCGUUUUUUUCUACCGAACGCUUUCGUUCGGCUGUUUGCCGCGUUCGCCUAUUUUAGGCGCUCGCGACCAGUAUUACUAGGCGCACGUUCGGUUUCUUUUUCACACGAACGCCAGACGUCUAAUUUUGCCGGCCAAAUUGGGGGAGGUUCCAUCUCCCUCAUACUGACGGCUGUUAGUCCGGCGGCCAUCUUAGAGGGGAUAAGCACUGUCAGCUGCUUGCUCCAGCUACCAAACUGCAAGCAACAGGAAUCCCUUUUUCACAGCCUGCCCCUUCACUCAGUGGGACCAAGUCAGGUUGGUACCUAACACCUGGGGUUGGUUAAAGCCAGUUGGACUGUACCUUAUUCUUGCCGGGGUGAGCCCCCAUUUUGUGCUGCUAAGCGGACCUGUUCAUGCAGGACUCCGAUUUCCUGGGUGAGCCCCAGUGACACAGCCCUCUCAUUAUAAUUACUAUGACCUACUGGUCCCUACCCUCUCAGGUUAACCAUUACCGAUAACAUACCACCCUGGUCCCCAGGCCUCUCCACUAACUGUGCCUAAAGUGCCCUCAUGCAAUCUAUCGGGUGAGCCCCGAAUACCUUUCAAAAUCAUGGAGGAAUCUCAAACCUCCUCAGACCUUCAGGCCAUGAUCACAGCAGCGGUGGCCGCAGCCAUGGAAAAAGCCUCUUCUAAGUCGCUCCCCGCAGACCUAGACUCCCCUCAACCCAUCUCUAAACGGGUUCACUAUAGAGCGGACUCCGAAGACUCCGACUCCUCCAAGGAACGCUCCCAUAGGCCUAAGCGCCAUUGGAAGGGCGAGGCCACUGCGCCACGCAAAUCUAAGGGUAAAGCCCCUGCUAAACGCAGGAAAGCCAUGGCUCAUACUGCCCACGAACCCACACAGAUUUCCUCGGGUGAGGAAGACAUAGAACCCACACACUCUCUAGCCGUGCUAGAUGAAUGGCAGGCUGCAGUCUCUGACCAGGAGGACUCUGGUGAAGACUCCGCGGCCAACUCUGACCCUUAUUUCACAAGGGAAAAGUUUCUGGGUGAGCCCCAUGAUUCCAUGGCUACAUCCAUGGAUAACCCACAGGAAAGCACAGAGAUUUUCCUUGACAAUUCGGGCCUCCAAAUGUUUGACCCGAGAAAUAUCCGUCAUCCCUGUUCGGAAGAAUGGUCUCCACCCGAACACUUGACAAAGUUUAUGCACUUCUGGCUCAGGAAAUCUCUGGACAAGGAAGUAAGGAAACGCAUGAGAUCAGAAUGCCCCCGGCCUAGCCUACCAGACAAGGUGGUGCACACCCCCGAAUUUGACCCGCUCAUGACGACUUUUAUGUCCCGAGGGGGUCGGGACCCGCGCAGAGGCAUAGAGCGCGGUUUCAAAGGAGCGCAGGGCAAACUGCUAGACGCCAUUGGGCUGCUAGCUAGGAAUAUGGACAUGGCAGAUGACACCUAUGAGAGGGCUGAUGAUUUCACCCCAGAUACGGUGCGUGAGUGGGCACGAGACACCCGUGAAUGGGCACAGAGGUGUUUCUGUUUCCUAGGAAACACCAAUGUGGCCCUCUCUUCGGAGAGGCGCCGAGCAGCACUUUACCGUAUCGACGAAAAACUUGUCGAACUGGGGGACGAAGAAUUAGGCCCUUUGGCACAGGGCAAAUUGUUUGGAGAGGCCUUCCUCAAAGAAUUAAACAAAAGGGUCAACAUAUUCACGUCCCUUAACAAGGCUCAAACUUCGAUGCGGAAAGUCUUCCGCAGUUCUCACACCUGAGGUGUUUUUGGGAGGGCUGGACGGCAGAGGGGCAGUGCCGCCAGCCAUUUUUGGCCAUCAGGCCCCCGUACAACAAGGAGUCAACCUUUCUACCCAGACUCGUCUACACGACAUAGAUUCCACCAAUUCCGGGGAUCAGACCGUGGCCGAGGCAGCCGAGGACACUCCCGGACAAGAUUCUCCAACGGUAAGUCAACAUUUUAUCUUGCCUCUUUUUUUCCAGAACUGGGUAGACCUAUCUUCAGACACGUGGAUCCUCCAAACGGUGCGGGGCUAUCAAAUAGAGUUCGAUUCAACCCCGCUCCAGAAGGCCCCUCCAUGUCCGAUCCAGACUACACGUGCAGAUGCCCGUCUCAUAGACUCGGAACUACGAGAACUUCACUCCAAGGAUGCCAUCCAACCAGCCCCGGACUUAACAGGCUUCUACAGCAACAUCUUCUUAGUCAGAAAGAAAACCGGCGAAUUCCGCCCCAUAAUCAACCUCAGGGAGCUCAAUUCUCACGUAGUAUACCGACAUUUCAAAAUGGAAGGUAUCCACCUUCUACGAGAUCUGCUUCGACGCAACGACUGGUUCACCCGCCUGGACCUCAAGGACGCGUACCUUACCAUUCCGGUACACAGAAACAGCCGUCCCUACCUCCGCUUCUUCUGGCAGGGGACACCCUGGCAAUUCACCUGUCUCCCGUUUGGCCUCAGUUCAGCACCGUGGUGCUUCACCAAGAUUAUGAAGCCAGUGGUGGCAAAACUCAGAGCUCGAGGCAUAAGAUGCAUCAUCUACCUCGACGACAUCCUGAUCUUCGACGAGGACGCAAGGACCCUGAGGACACACAUGAACUACACUGUACACCUACUCGAGUCUCUAGGUUUCAUUGUCAAUCAUCCCAAGUCCGCAUUAAUUCCGGUUCAGUCAAUUCAAUUCCUCGGAUUUGUAAUAGACUCCACAUCAUGCACUCUUCACCUCCCGGCCACAAAAAUCACAUUCCUUCGCAGGAAGCCUACAUACGACCAACCGGUUCCAAUGUCACACGAAGUUCGGGAGGAACUACGCUGGUGGCUGAACUGUAUGCAGGCUUGGAAUGGCAUGGCCAUAUUCGGGAACCAGCCAGACUUCGUGCUGGAGUCAGAUGCCAGCCGUUCAGGUUGGGGAGCAAUGGACGGAACUUCCUCCACAGGAGGAGUAUGGACUGCCGAAGAGUUAUCAAUGCACAUCAAUUGCCUGGAACUCCUGGCCGGGUCAUUCGCCAUUCGCAGUCUGGCAAAGGAACGAUCCAACUGUUGUAUCCUGCUUCGCAUGGACAAUGUCUCAGCGGUAAGAUACAUCAACCGCCUGGGAGGCACUUGUUCUCAAGCACUGGUGGAUCUCACGAAAGAGAUCUUCGAUUACUGCCUGCCACGCAACAUCACCCUGCUGGCAGAGCAUUUACCUGGAGACUCCAACACGACGGCAGAUUGGUAUUCACGCCACUGGCGGGACGCCGGCGAUUGGCAACUAGACCCUCAUAUUUUCACAAUACUGGAUGCACAGAGGGGACCUCUCUCCCUAGACCUAUUCGCAUCCCGCAACAACCGACAGACAAAGGAUUUCUUCAGCUGGCUCCCAGACCCGGAGAGCCUUGCAACGGACGCUUUCCUACAACAAUGGCCUCGGUUCGGUGCUUACACAUUCCCACCUUUCGCGAUGAUAACGAGGGUCCUUCACCGGAUCGGCCUGCAGGGAGUAAGGAUAAUCCUCAUCACGCCUCUUUGGCAGAGCCAGCCAUGGUUCCCGGACCUUCUGGAACUGUCAGUCAAGGACCCCCUCCUCCUACCGGAUGCUCCAACUAUCCUCACGAACCCGUUAGGUCUACCUCACCCACUGGUCAUGCAGGAACGCCUGUCCCUUGUGGCCUGGACGCUUUCCGUGGUUCCUGGCGAACCGAGGACCUAUCGCAAGAAGCUAGGGACCUCCUUUGGGAUUCAUGGGCACCAGGAACAAGGAGAUGCUAUUUAUCAGCAUGGCACUCCUGGACCAGUUGGUGUAUGGGAAGGGACCUCAAUCCCUUUACUGCACCUACUCAUUCCAUCAUGAAUUUCCUGACCUCUCUGUUCAUGGCCGGGAAGUCAUACCGGUCCAUCAACGUGGUACGAUCAGCCAUCUCAGCGGCCCAUACUCCGUCCCAAGGGUCUCCGGUUGGUCAGGAUCCACUCAUCUGCAGACUCCUCCGCGGCAUGCGCCUUAGGCGCCCUCCGGAGCCCAAAUACUCUAGACUUUGGGACGUUGGCGUGGUGCUACAAUUCUUACGAAAUUGGCCUCCUAACAAGGACCUGUCACUCCGCCAACUUAGCGCAAAAUUCACCUUCCUGCUCUGUCUAGUCUCCUUCCGACGGGUAUCCGACGUACGCGCUUUCGACGCGAUGCUUUUACCUUCUGCCCGGCGGGAGUUACCUUUCAGAUCUCACGACGCACUAAGUCCAACUCUCACUCGGUCUUCUACCCUUUCUUCCCUUCGGACCCUCAGCUCUGUGUGGUCUCUACUCUCCGUCAAUAUGUGGAAGCCACCGCGAUGUUGCGGCAACCUUCCACACGUCAACUUCUCAUCUGCUACGUCCGCCCCUACGGUCCAGUUUCGGUUAGUACACUGGCCAGAUGGGUUAGAUGGCUAAUAUCCCUUGCCGGUAUUGACCAAACUUUUGGAGCACAUUCCGUACGCGGGGCAGUGGCCUCUUCCACAUACGCGGCAGGCGCUUCCCUUUCGGACAUCUUACGAGCGGCAGACUGGACCAGGGAAUCCACCUUUAGAACGUUCUACUUCCGUCCUCUUGACAAUCCAGCUUUUUCUCUGCUCUCCCAGCGUUAAAAUUGCAAAAUACGAAGCCUCCUGUCAUGUGAUAAAAUUGAAGAUUAUGAUAGCUUUAGUGUACAGAUAAUCUUAAUUUUAAUAAUGACAGGAGGCGAGUAUUUUCCCUCCCUGUUCGCUUUCGCUACUUCCCUCUCUCUGUUUUCACGCAUAUUUCCUACUUUUGGCUAUUAUUGUACUGAUGCCUAAAUUGUGUUUUUUUCUCAUACAUUUGAUACAGAUAUGCCAGGUGGGUGGGAUGUUUUUAGUUAGCACCGAUAGACGGGAGGAAUGUAUUCGUUCUGUUUUUAUAAGGGCAAUUUUAAAUUUAGCAUAAGGGAAAGACAUCUCAUUGCUUUUACACAACCAUUUUUGGAAUCUAAUCCCUUUCAUAUUCUCGUUUCAGUUUAACCAGAUACCUCAAGGAACUAAAGGCUCCAUUCAAGGUGUCAUCAUCAUCCUGUCAUGGGAGAUCACAAACUGACAUCAAGAAGUUUCCACUGGAGUCUACCUGUUUACGUUCAGUUUACACGUUCUGACAUUGUUUUACCAUGGACCUUUCGAGUUACCUUUGUUAUUUCUUUUACUUCAUGUUCUUGUGAUGUUGCAUGCUUUUAGAGGAAAUGAUGUCAUAUGUUACACCUCUUAUACUCUAUACUGCAUUGUGAUUGGUUCUCAGUUUUGGCACUCUUUUCUUUGCUGCUAUGGAGUUAGUAAAGAAAGAUUAUGCAAAAUACUCACCUCCUGUCAUUAUUAAAAUUAAGAUUAUCUGUACACUAAAGCUAUCAUAAUCUUCAAUUUGUGAGGUGAGACUCGGAAGAACACUACGUUUUAAGGAUGUAUGAAUAGGGCAGUAACCUGGCAUUUAAAUUUGUCCCAAAAGUGAAACAGUUAAAGUAAGGGAAGAGUGCCAACCUGUUAUGGAGAUAAGCUUCAGAAUUUGUCUCUAGUUACAAACAGAGCCUUAGGGCUUUUGGUUAUGUCCUUUCUUCCUCCUCUAAGUGCCCCCACCCCUUCUGUUUUUUGCUGUAUGAGCUACAAUGGAGCCUUUUGUCCAAUGCGAUGAUGUGAAAAAGACAGCAAAUCACAUUGCGGUCGAAGCAACGUGUAGAAUCGUAGAUGAUACUUGCCUGGAGCUAAUGGACACCUUAACCCUAAUGUGAUAUAGGACAAGGUACCAAGUCUCUGGAAGCUUCUUCUCAAAGCCAGUAUCAUGGAAAGGUGGUCCCAAAACUGGUCCAUUGAGACGUUAAUUUUUGGUGUUGCCCAACGUCCCAAAACUUUGCAAUGAGUCAUUUUGGUUGUACAGAAUACACAUGUCCGUUUGACCCAUGGAUCAUGUGAUUAUCAUUAGAUUUCUAAAGACCCACAAGCUUCCUACCCUUGAAAUUAUGAAGCAUGUCACGGUCAGGUUAUGUUUUUCCUAUUUGAGGCGGCGAGGCCGUCUUUUAAUCAGUUACAGUUGUAUUUACACACUUUAAAACAUUAACAUUUUACAACAAAUCUGACAUGUAGAACGUGCACUUUAACUUACUACCACGUGAUCGAGUUGCUCUUGACUAAUAGCAUACAGGCCUUCCAUUUUAAUAGUAGAGGCGGGUGUUGUUGUGGUGAUAGUAACUGGUGGUUUUCACUCCAAGUGAAGGAAAGAGGACAUAUUUAAUGUUAUCAGGAAAAAUUAAUAAUUAUUUGUUUUAGAAUUUCUAUUGAAUAUGUUGUUCUAAUGUUUUUUUUAUUUAUUUAUUUUUAUUAUUUUUUUUAUUCUUUAUUUUUGUGAGGUACCCCAAAGGCAUUCCUCUAGCACAUUUGAAACAGUUAAGCAUAGAGGUACGUGAUGAAUCUAGCACAUAUUUUAUAUAUACAGGUUUUUAUAAGUCGAGAUAUAAGCAGAGUAUAUUUUAGCUUAAUCUCUUCUAUAAAUAUAAUGGUAUCUAAACAUUUGCUCGGUUCGCUGUGAUCUAUCUGAGGUCUAGCCAACAUGUCACUCUUGUGCCAGUGCGUAGUCUUAAGAUUAAUGAUGGAGGUGACAUCCGCUUAACAUCCUUACGUUAAAGGCACAGUAAUUAAUUUAUCAAGGUAUGGGUAAGAUUAGACAACAUUGCUUUGUAUGCUGUUAUUCAGUCGUUUGGAUGUCUAUCUGCGAUAUGUGAGAAUAGAUUUAAACAGAGUGCUGCAUCUGAGUGCUUGAUGUUUAAACAUGCUAGGGCUGUAUUGUAUACAAAACUUUUAAGUAAUGGCCGAGUGGGGAGGUAUAAUAGCUAGGAAAAAUAGCACCUUGGUUAUAGACUGCCUGGUGAAAACAAGCCUUAUCUUCGCAUUUGUGGUUGCAGGAGAAUAGUCCUUCUUGGGUUUAGUCCGCUUUGAUCAGCCGAUGCCGGCUCUGGAUGCCUGAUAGAUGGGCCGUGGAUAGUGGCAGGGUUGGUGUCUCGGUGAGAUAUCAUCUCCGCUGAGCUCUGAGGGGGCUCUCUGUGUGUGUCUCUUGUGUGCAGGAAGCCUUGCUGCAUCUUGGCUAGCCUCAUGGCCCCCAGCGUGAGUUCCUGGUUGCCGGGUUGUGCCUUGCUGGUCGGUGGUCUCCGGUGCUGCUGGGUAACAGCUCUCUAACACACUAACACACACACUCUAACACACACACGCACUAACACACACACACACACACUCUAACACUAACACACACUCUAACACUAACACACACACACUAACACACACACACACACACACUAACACACACAUUAACACUAACACACACACACACUAACACACACACAAACACUCACUCUAACACUAACACACACACACACACACACACACACACACACACACACUAACACACACACACAUACACACUGUGUUUACUGACUUGUCAUGCUUGGUGACACUUCCCUAAAUAAGCCAAACUUCCCCCAUGACACCAACAUGCUGGCUUUGUUGCAUGCUGUCAUCUGAAUGAAGUUUGUAUACUUCCUAGCAUGCACUGGGGUGCUGUGAGUGGACAACAGAAGAACUGAAAUCGGCUUGUGGUAGUUCUCUUCUACGCUCGUUUAUCAAUCAAUUUGAUUUUUUUUUUCUUUUUUUUUUUUCCAGUCUAUAUUUAAAAAGACCAAAAGUGGUUUGGAGCAUGACAGGUGUCCUUUAAAGUGUCUAUCUUUGUUGUUUUGAAAUGUUAUUUUGAUGCAAUAUUUAUAAUAAUGAUUGACAGGGAGUCAAGAUGGCGUUUUGGGAUAAAUCUGUGGAUUUCAAAAUUGGAUUUAUGGUUUUCUGGGGCCUGUGCAACCCAUUCUAUUUUUCUAUUUUACAUGAAAAACUCUUUCAUUAUCAUGAGUCAAGGAAAAAUAAUAAGUAAGGCAUUCACAAAUAUACCACAUUUGAAGUUAGCAGAUUUAAGACUUAUUGAUGUCUUGCAUGAAAUUUUUUUGAAGAAAGUUAAAAGAAUAAAAUGAAUUAAAAGAACAUAACAUAAGAAUUAAAAGAACAUAGCAUAAAAUCAAAACCAAACUAAAUAUGUUCUCUUCUACUAAUCAUGUGUAUGAAGGCACCAUAAAUUAGGUCUGCAGCCUUAGUGUAAUAAAGUUGAUGCAACAUCAGGGGAAACAAAUUUGAAGUUCUUAAAGGGACACUGUAGGCACCCAGACCAUUUCAGCUCAUUGAAGUAGUCUAGGUGCAAACUCCCAUCACCCUUAACCCUGCAGUGGUAAUUGUUGCAGGUUUUUUUUUAACUGCAACAAUUACCUCUGAGGGUUAACUCCUCCUCUAGUAGGUGUCUGCAAGAUAGCCACUAGAGGGACUUCCUGGUUUGAAACAGACAUUUGGUCCGUUAUCUGACCCUGGACGUCCUCACGGUCUGCAGGAGAACCUCCAGCACCAGAUUUUCCCAAUAGAAAGCAUUGAAUAAUGGUGAAAUACUAAUGCAAUGCAGCCAUGGGCUGCCAUGGACAUCGGCAAUGGAUCCAGGUAAGUGACUGAAGGGGUUAUUAACCCCUUAGUGCUGCUGAAGGGGGCCUUGACAAAGGGGAAAUCUAUAGUACCAGGAACACGAGUUUGUUUUCCUGGCACUAUAGAAUCCCUUUAAUUUCAAAAGGUUUGUAUUCUGAGACUAUGGGGGGGUUGGGGUGGCCCUGGUUAAGUAACAAUCUGUAAAUACGAAAGUGGACUUAAUUUUGGCCUGGGUAGGUCUAUCUAGUGAGUUAAUACAUGAAAAACUCUGUGAUGUAUCCUGUUGAUGUUUCUAUUCUAAUCGUUGUUCUCGCACUUAUAUCACUACCUGUAAUGUUUGCACGGACUAUUGGGGAUCUGCGUGUUCUACCAAGUGACUCCUCUGCGUAAUCAUUUAUCACUUAUAGCAAAAUAAAAACUUAUAUUUACAAAAAAAUACAUGAAAAACUCUUUAAUGAAAAAUAUAUUCACAAACAAAAAAAUAUGUGGAUUUCUAUAUUUAAGUUGUGAAUCUAAUCUAGAGCAUAUCCUAUUAUAAAGUCUACGUGACUGUUUUUGUGGGUUAAUGUAGGGAUCAUAUCACUCUUUAUAACUUGUGAUCUUAUAUUAAGUAUUCAGGUGUAUUGUUACAACAAAACCAAGAUUUAUUUACAGUGUUUGAAUAUCUUAUUCAAAAUGUCACUUUUUAAACAUACGAACCAUUUCAUAUCUAAUAUACAAUCAAUCAAUGACAAUUAUUUAAAUAAUGAUUGUUGCUAAAUGCCAAGGAUCUGAACGGCAGUGGGAAACAACAAAAGUCAUCAAAGAUACAGCUAGUGAGGUUUGGACUUUGUGCGGUUACUGAUAGUGCUAUAGAUCAUUUCAUUAGCACCAUACUCAUUAGUAUAAUUGUUCGACAGUAUAUGUUUAUGGUGGUAUUUUACAUAUUUAUUGCCGUGUGAGAUAUAAUAGGCAUUACGCAUUCAUGCAUAGCAGCAGAAUGCUAUAACUGGACCAUGGAACAGAAAACACAGGGAUGAGAUGGAAGGAAUGCAAUAGGGGUUACUGUAUGGGGGAUGAAGGGGGAGUGAGGGAGGGCAAGGGUGCUUGUAAGGCUAAAUUAAAUUCAGUGAGGUCACAUGCUCAGCCUGCUUUCAUCUGUUUUUUUGGUUCCCCUCUUUUAGAGAACAAGGAAACCCAUUCAUGGUCCGGCAUCUGAGUUGGCGGGACACAAGGCCCCCGGCUUCUUUUCCCUUGCUUUUUAAUGGUGAUGUUCUCACUGACAAACCCGAGAAGGAAAUAAAUAUGGAAAAAAAAGAGAGAGAAAAAUAUGUGGCGCAUGAUCCCAUGGGUGAUUCAG